rnacentral:lncRNA from 1 species
AUAACGUUUGACAACUCUGAUUUUCAUUUGCAGAAGCUUAACCUAUAGUUUCACAAGGUUAUUUGUUUUCAAUUGUUCAUUUUAUGGCUCUUUGACGGACUUAAUAGUGAAUUUCAAAAAUCACGAAAUUCGAUUUCUGGAUAUUUCAAAUACUCUUAAUUAAGUUCAACGGUGCUGAUUAUCAAUUUGGAGUUUGGAUCAUCGAAAUUAUUUGAUAGGAAGAGGCCUCUGUCCUCUUAAGAGGAUAGUAACUCCUCUCUCUUUCUUUCUCUCUCUCUCUCUCGCUAUAUAUAUAUAUAUAUAUAUAUAUAUAUAUAUAUAUAUAUAUAUAUUAUAAUUAAAUCGUCCAACUAGUAACUUUCGUUAGCACAGAGCCCUUAGUGCUAACAAGUUGUUUUCGUUGAUGAGACAUCCGAAUUGAUGAUCGACUCCAUUAGACAUGAUCUACACUAUUGGGUAUAGAAACCAAAUAUCAUGUUUUUGACAUUAUUUGACUGUAGAAUGAAAAAUGAACAGCUGAAAGCAAAAGUCUCAUAAAAAGUAAUGAUAAAAGACUUAAAUUUCAGAUUAGAGGUGUUGAUUUUAUUCUAAAUAGUGAAAAGAAUUUUCUUUCAAAAUUUUGUUAGAUUUGGAUUGUUCUACACCAUUAAACUUACAAAUGCGUCACAUCGGCUUUUAAAAUUAUCAAUUUUGGGACCUUUUGGUCAUUACUCAAAGGAUGGCCAAAGAACAUAAAAUUUGGUCUCUAUAUACCUCCAAUAGUGUAGAUCAUGUCUAAUGGAGGGCUCCGUGCUAACGAAAGAAUGCUAGCUAGACUCUCUCUCUCUCUCUCUCUCUCUAUAUAUAUAUAUAUAUUUUAAUCUGAAACAUUACGACUUUCAAAAAUAAUCUUUAGUAGUAUGACAUUAGUUGUAUCAAAACUAACGAUCAAGCUGUAUGUCUCAACUAUCAUGAGUUGACCGCAUGAAUCCUUUUUCUGCUGUUAUGUUUUAUGUGAUACCGGAUUGAUAUGUCUACUACAAUAAGCAUUAAUUUGUUUGCUGCUUGGGUUAACUCAAGAUAGACUAAUGCAUUAUGGCACUUUAAGUGUAUAAGUACUUGUAGUCAAGCAAGACGGUGUAAAGCACUAAAAAUUUCUUCUAGAUCGAAUCUAUGUUUCUUAAUUAUUAUUUGAGACAAAACUAUCACUUCUGAAGUAUUUUAUGUGUUGUUCUGCUUAGAAUGCAUGUUGAGAAUCAUAGUCAGAGAGACUAAGUGUAGCAUUAGUUAGUCCGAAAGCUGUUGGAAUGCCAAUUUCAUUAGUAAAAUGAGUGUUGGACUUAGCAAGUAAACCAUGUGGCGGCAUAGAUGUAUGUGGACCUAAACAUGUUAAUGAAUCUACUGGCAUAUGUUUAACUCAAUGCUGCUUUUGCUGGGCUGAUCGUCAUAAGUUGAGAAUAACUUGAGGAAAAUCUAGUACUUAAAUGAAAAGACCUAAUGUGAGAUACCUAGAAAGCAAAAGCUUGGGAUCAUUUGCUUGUUUAAUAAUAAUUUAUUCAAUCUGGUCCUAGAGUGUAGCAUAUGCUUUGCAUCAAGGAUUAAAGUACCGGCCCGUGCCGUACCGUGCCCCUAAAUAAGGGGCACAAUACAACCCCUUUAUCGCAGGGAGUAGAAUACCGCGAUACGUAUCACGGUACCUUGCGAUACAUUCAGUUGGGCACGCGGGUGCCACGUUACGUACCGCGCGAGCUGACUAUAUCUUAAUAUUUGUUAUUAUUUUCCCCCUUUUUUAUGUAGUUCAUGAGUUUCUCUCUCUUUUUUGUUUUUUGGUUCAUUUUGCUUCUAUACCCUAACUUCUUCCCCCCUUAUCAUUUGAUUUACAUAUAAAAUCUAUUUUUAUAUUAAGCUAAUCUAAAAUCUAAUCAAAUUUAAAAUAACUUACCUAAUCUAGGUAAUUUAAUCUAGUUAUGGAAUUGGAGUCUAAUCUAAUGUGCUGUAGAUUUUAAAUUAUCAGAUCCAAUAUCUAAUCUAAUCUUUUCUAAUCUAGAAUCAUGUAGCCUAAUCUAAUUUAAUCUAAUUCAGAAGCCUAGAUUACAUUAAACUAGUUUAAAUAUAAAUAUUAUGAUUUAAAAUUAGAUUUGAUUCGGUGAUUUUAUAUUUUCUAAAUUUACCUAAUCUAGAUUACUUACUCUAAUCUAAUAUAAUGUCUAACUUAAUCUGAUAUAGAAUUACUAAAUUUAACGUAGUUUGUACUUAUAUUAACCUAAUCCGAUAUCUCAUAUAAUCUAAUCUAAUCUAGAAUUACCUAACCUAAGGUAAUAUAAUCUAGAAUUGGCUAGAUUAGAUUAAAUUAUUUUAAAAAUAAAUAUUUUUUAUUUACUGUUCGCUUUGAUUUUGUUCUUUCUAUAUUAUCCAAAUUACUCUAAUCUACUAUAUAUAAAAUCUAAUUUAGAAUUACUUGAUCUAAUCCAUAUAAGCUAAUCUACUCUAAACUUUAACUAAUCUAGCUAUAUAUAAAUAGUUUCAUAUAGAAUUAGCCAAGAAUAUAUUAGGUAAUUUUACCAAAUAUAGUCGUAAAAUUAAAGCUCAUUAUGUAAUUUUAGAUUAGCAAAUUGGUAAAUCUGAUAUGAGAUAAUUAUUACUCUGAACUUCUAAAAUAACAUCAUAAGACCUUAUUGGGACCAAAAAAAAUAAAAUAGGGCUAUGCCAACGUGUGCCAUUAGGAGGCCACGCGUGCUUUUCGGCACGCAAGCGUGCCAUGUUGUUCGGCACAGAACCGUGCCAACUACCUACUGGCACGCCCCUGUGCCACGACACUUUAAUCCUUGCUUUGCAUGGUUAUGCAUGGUUAAUUUUUAGUUGGACCAGUAAACAAUUUAUUUUGUAUUGUACUUGGUUUAGGAUGGAAAACUAAUGAGCCGUGUAUUUCAUUCCUUCAGGCAAGAAACAAUGCUCGAGUGUUGAUAUCGGGAUCUUUGGAUCUAUUUAGCAAUCGGUAUGCAUCUAUAGCUUUUUCUUGGAUUUGUAUGGGCCUAUUUGGCCUAGCUUUUGGAGAAGUGAUUUCAAUUGAACUUAUUUUGGUUUGGAGAAUUGCUUUCAGCUAAAAGUUGUAGAGCGACUAACCGAGUCUGGUAGAAAAGUGAUUUUUUUGAAGUGAUCUUGUAAAGUGUUUAGCAAAUUUUCUAAAGGGAUUAUGUAAAAUUUGAAAUUUAAAAUUUUAAAAUAUAAAAUGUGAAAUUUUAAUUUUAAAAUUUGCAAAUUUAAAAUUUAAAAUUUUAAAAUUUGAAAUUUAAAAAGGCUUUUUACAAAAAGAAAUCCAGUAGUCUUGCGGUUUUGCAAAAAUGGGCCAUAUUUUUUAUUUUUGCAGAUUCGGACCAAAUGAAAAUAGACCAAAAUACUCGUGCCCUAAAAAUACGAUCUCUCUUUCCUCUGCCCUCUCCUCAAGGGCCAUGUCUCCGCCACUGGUGGUAGUCUUGAGCGCUCAUCCUACCUCCACUGUCUCCACACCAACUCCUUCGUUGCGUUUGCGUCGUGAAUGCCUUACGAUUGAGAGAAACACAACGAACUUGACUCGCUCGUCGUCGUGGCUGCUCGGUGCUUUGCUGGAGACGGAGACGAAGGUGUCAGAAGAGGGCGACGAUCGCUAGUUCAGAAUGCUUUGGAGGCAUGUUUGCAGCGAGUGUGAGUCGUGUGACUGACGACGACGAGGUGGUGGUGAUAGUGAGAGGGAAAAAUCUAGUCGACAACGCUAUGUUGAACUAUUAAAAAGUUACACUAUUUGAAUACAUGUUGCAUUGUUUAGCAAGAAAGUUACACCAUUUUACAGUUUAAUAUACGCAUCAAAUAGUGCAAUUUUCUUGCUAAAUAGUAAAACAUAUAUUCAAAUAGUGCAACUUCACGUCAUUGGCCAGAUUUUUUCCUUGCUACUAUUGUCACCACCUCGUCGCAGUCGGCUACGCUUGUGAAACCUGCUCGCGAACUUGCUUCAGGAGCAUCCUCGACUAGUGAUCAACGCCUUUUUCCUUUACCAUCUCUGACUCCAUUUUCGGUGAUGCUUUGAGUUACGCCACCGCUGAGAAUUGCCAUGGUCAUGAGUCAAGCUUCGUCAUGGUUCUUUCCCUCAUGUAGUCUUGUGCUAAGUAGAGGAGCGCAAUAGCGACGUUGGGACGGUGUAGUGAGAGGAAGAAAGAGGAUAAAGAGAGCAAAGAGAGAUAAUAGGGAUAUUUUGAUCAUUUUAAAAAAAUUUUGGCUGAAUCUGCAAGAAAGAUAGGCCAAUUUGAAAUCUAAAUUAAAAUGAAAUUUUGCAAUUUGAAAUUGAAUAUUAAAAUUCAAAAUUUUGAGGCCCUUUUGCAAAAAAAAAGCCUGCUAGUUUGCGAUUUUGCAAAAGUGGGUCACAUUUUUCGUUUUUUGCAGAUCUGAAUCGAUUUUUUUUCUUUCAAACUGACAAAAUAUCCUUAUUCUCUCUGUCUUUGCUCUCAUUCUCCCCUUGUUUUUUCUCACUCCAUUGUCCCUGUGUCGCCGCCGCACUCUCCUACCUCACUUACGAGUGAGAGGACAAUGAUGAAGCUUGACUCACUUGUGGCCGUGGCUGUCUUGGGGUGGUUUGACGAGGUCACCGUGGUAGAAACGACGGUGGCGCCGUUAGGAGCGUCACUGGAGAUGGAAACGAAGGUGGCAGAGGUGGGGGGUGAUGAUCGUUGGUCAAGAAUGCCCCUGAAGUAGAUUCGUAAGUGGGUUCACGAGUGCGACCGACGAUGAUGAGGUGGUUGCGGUAAUGAGAGAGAAAAAUCUGGUAGACACGUGAUGUUGCACUAUUUGGAAAAAGUUGCACUAUUUAGCAAGAAGGUUGCACUAUUUGUUUCGUAUGAUAAAAUGUAAAAUAGUGUAACUUUCUUGCUACGUAGUGCAAUAUAUGUUCAGUAGUGCAACUUUUUUUUUUCAAAUAGAGUAAUAUCGUGUCAUUCGUAAGAUUUUUCUCUGUUAUUACCACCACCAUUUUGCCGCCGUCGGUCACGCUCGCGUAGCAAACACGCUUCGGAAGCAUUCUCUACUAGCGACCAUUGUCCUCCUUUGCUACCUUCGUCUUCGUCUCUAGCAAGGUCUGAGUAGUCACGAUGACGAGCGGGUCAAGUUUGUUAUCUUCCUCUUGCCUGUGAGGAACACCAUGACGCAAAUGCGAUGGUGUGUGGAGACGGCGGAGGAGGGAUUAGUGCCUGUGGCUACCGUCAGUGGUGAAAAAAUAGGGCUACCAAUAGGGAGCAAAGGAAGGAGAGAUAAGAUGUUUAAGGGAUCGAGAUAUUUUGGUCCAUUUUCAAAAAUUUUGGUUCGAAUCUACAAAAACGAAAAAUGUGGUCCAGUUAUGCAAAAAUGCAAAACUAGUGUAUUUUUUUGUGCAAAAGACCAAAUUUUAAAUCUGAACAAGAAUUUUAACUUUUAAAAUUUGAAAUUUGCAAUUUGACGUUUAAAAUUUGAAAAUAGAAAUUUAAAAAUUUUAAAUGUUUAAAAUUUAAGUUUUUCUUAAGUUUAAAGUUUGAAAUUUAAAAUUUUGAAAUUUAAAUUUUAAAUUGGAAAUUUGAAAUUUCAAAUUCAAAAUUUGAAAGUUGAAAUUGAAAUUUUGAAAAUUUGAAAUUAAAAAAUUUAAACUUAUUAUUUUGAAUUUAAAAUUUGAAAUUUAAAAUUCAAAUCCGAAAUCAAAAUUUAAAUUUGAAACUUGAACUCAAAAAGCAGAAUUAGAUGUUAGGAAGCAGGUUUUAGCUGCUUCUAAUUUUGAGGCCUCUAAAAUAAAAAAAUUGAUUCUGAAAAUCAGAAUUAGAUUUUAGAAAAAACGUUUCCAAAUGCUCUAUUAAAAAAAAAAAAAAUCACUUUUCACUCUAGAAUCGCUUACUAAAAGUUCUAACCUAGUUAUCUUUCCAAUUUUUAGAUUUUCGAAGUCUGUUGUGCAGAAGGCUGGGAGUAAGAUAAAGUAAGUACUUAACCUUGUAUCAUUUGCAGAUUAUCUAUUUGUGCAAUUAUCAUUCUUUGUUGAAAUCAUGGGCUCGAAAUUAAGAUUUGAUAUCAAGUUAGCUCUCUAUUGUUUUAUACUGCUUGAGAUGAAGUUAGCUCUCUAUUGGUUUUCACCUGGCAUUGUUUUGGUACUUUUCUAAUGCCAUGUUUAAGUGGCAUUUUGCCAAUGCUUACAUAAAUGUAACUUGAUGUUGCAUAUAUUCUGUUCACUUGUAGAGCAGUUUUAUAGACCUAGUUGAACUGGUUAGACUAUUUAGUUUUUGAGAUAUUUUUAGUUGUAUGGAUGGCCAUUUGUCAUUAAUAAUUACACUAUUGAAGACUAGAAGUUUAUGAUAUUUGGAUUUUAAUGACGUAGUAUGGGAGGAAAACAGAGAGCAAAUAGUCAGAUUUAGGCUAAUAAGGACUAUGAAUAAAGAUGGAAUAGUUUGGAUUUUAAGAAAACCACUAGUUUCUUAGAUAUAUUGAAAACAUGAUAUAAAACAGCCAUAAUCUGAUUUGCAUCCCUUCUAUAUUAGGGUUACAAGGUGCUAUUCAAUACCAGCCCGUGAUUAUGACUUAUUGGCUAACUUUAAAUCCUAACCAUCAAAAUAUAAUAAUAAGUCACAUGCUAGUCACACGACAACUAACUAAAUAAAAUAAAUAAAACAAUUGAAAAGUAAAACAUAAUAUUAAAGCUCCUGUGUCAAUCUCCUCAGCUUGGAAAACUCGACUUAGGCGAGAAAACCUUCACGACUUCAUUAUACAUGUCCGAAUCAAUCUUCAUUAAUUUAUCUUCAGUUAUCCAAGUGCUCUCACUAGCUGGUUUUCCCAACCAUUUCACUAGAAAUCUUCUAUACUGGUUGCCCCUUUGAGAUUUGACUUCUUUAACAUCUAAAACAUCUUCAAUAACCUCGGAUUGAACAUUUGGAUACUGCUGAAACUCAUUUGAAAUUUUAGCCACUUCUCUAUCAAAACCCUCAAAUGAAUUUAGAUCGGAAACAUUAAAAAUGGGAUGGAUGUGUAAAUCUUAUGGUAGCUUAAUUAAAUAAGCAUUUGAGCUUAUUUUCUUCAACACUUUGCAUGGUCCAAAUUUCCUUGACUUGAGCUUGUGGUAUGUGCAUUUAGGAAACCUUUCCUUCCUCAAGUGCACAAGGACCAAAUCCUCCCUCUCUUCAAAUUCCUUGAAACGACAAUGUAGAUUGGCCGCAUUUGCAUGAAUUUCAUUGUUGGUUUUCAAGACAGCCUUAACUUCCUUGUGAACUCGUCGGAUAUGAUCUGCAAAUGCCUCUCCAUCAUCACUAACUCUAGCUCCCAGAGGCGAAGGAACUAAGUCAAGUACAUGUUGCGGUUUGAGUCCAUAUGCAGCUUCAAAUGGCGUCUUCUUGAUUGUCCUAUUCACUGAAUUGUUGUAAGCAAAUUCAGCCUGAGGAAUAAUCAAGUCCCAACUCUUUGCAUGAUUCCCAACAACACAUCUCAACAUAUUUUCCAAACUUCGAUUAACAGCUUCGGUUUGUUCAUUCGUUUGUGGAUGACAAGUAUUAGAAUAUUUUAAAUGAGUCCCCAUUUUUCUUCAUAAGGUCCUCCAAAGUGUCCCACAAAUUUGACAUCUCUAUCCGAAACAAUGGAAGAUGGAACAGCAUGGAGUCUCACCACUUCUUUGAAGAAUAAUUCAGCAAUAUCUGUAGCAUCAGAAGUUUUCGAACAAGGAAUGAAAUGCUCCAUUUUCGAAAAUCGAUCCACUACAACAAAGAUAGAAUCAUUUCCUUUGGCAGUCUUUGGAAGUCCCAAGAUAAAAUCCAUGUUCAAAUGAAUCCAUGGUGCAUCUGGUAUAGGUAAUGGAGUAUACAAUCUGGUAUUUUGUGAACUACCUUUACCAAAUUGGCAAGCUGAACACCUUUUUCCGAACCUAUCCACAUCCUUGAACAUUUUUGGCCAAAAAUAGCGAUCUGCAACCAUUGCUCCCAAGCCAUUUCCAUGAAGUUCUCUAACAAUUUGCUCUCCCAAAGAUCCCUCUUGGGAUGCACAGUUGGUUGCCUUUGAGGUGAUAUCCGUCGUGUAAAUGAUAAGGCAAAGUUUCAAGCCUUGCUGGCCCUUCCAAUUCAGCAAUUAUUUUACUGAAAUAUGGAUCAGUUUUGUAUUGAUUUUUUAGCUCUUCGAAACCUGUUACUUGAUUACUCAUCACCUUUAGUAGAGUAGAUCGCCUACUAAGUGCACCUGCCACAAUGUUAAACUCCCCCGACUUGUAUUUUAAUGAAAAACUAGUGUAGGCCCGCGCUUCGCGACGGGUAAUUUAUUUUCCAUAAUUUUUUAAUAUUAUUAAUUUUAAGUUAAAAUGUAUGGAAUUUAUCUAAACUAUGAACCAUCUUGAAUCGGCUAUUCAACCUUAAUUUUGAUUUUACUGCCAACCUUUCAAUUGUUCAAUUUGAGUCACUUAACGUUACUUUGAAUUUAAAUUUUAAGCUAUUUACUUACUGUAAUGAAUUUAUAGUUGCGGAAAUUGUAUAAAGUAUAUUAACUAAACAUUUAAAGACAAACAAUACAUUCAAAUUUGAAGUUUAAAUGCUGUUGGCUGACUUAAAUCAAACAAUAUUGAAUGAGUAGUAAAAUUAAAAUUUUAAAAUGUUGGGUGGCUGAUUCAAAAUGGUUCAUAGUUCAUAUCAGUAUGUUUUUUACCCUAAUUAAAAUAGGAACUAAAAUUUUAAACACUAAAUCCUUAACUCUAGCUCUAAACUCUACAUUAAUUUACAUAAUAAAGCGUAUCAUAAAGAUUAAAUGCAAUGUCUGCGGAUUCUUCCACUGACAAAAGGGGAAAAGAAAAUACAAAACAAUAUAAUAAAGCUUAAGAUAUAUAAAAAAAGAAAAAAAUACUACAGAAACAUAAAAUUAGUUUCAUUUAUAUUAUGAAAUAUAAAAUGAGAAAUCAGGGACAUGCCUUUUGAAGCUUGAUCCAUAACGGUAGAAAUGUACUAAAUUUAGACAUAAUUUUCCUCUAACAUUAAAUAAAUAAAAAAAUAAUUGACAAAAUAUUUUUGAAAGUAUAAAAUUUUAAAAUUAAAAUUUUCAAAGUUAAGACCCAACAAAAAAUAUAAUUGAAAAAAUCAAAACCAGUAGCAGUGCAAUACACUCAUUUCUGAAAAGAUACGGAUGCCAGGCUGGAGCACAUACUCUCCUUUCUCUCUCUCUCCAACUCCCAUCACCUUUAUCUCUACCCUCAUUUCUUCGUCCUAGAGUCUUUCUCCUCCGAUGCCUCCACUUUCCAACCCACCUCAAAUCUUUCUCACUCCAAAGCCAACGAAGCUUUCGUCGCUACCUCCACCAUUGCCUACCUUGCUUUUUUUUUUGGAUCUGGUGUGUGUGGUAGUGGAUCGUGGGUGGUGUAUGGUUGUGGGGUUUGUGAGGGCGCUUCGUUGUGUCCUCCGAUCGGCUUCUCCCACCUUUAUUAUAGACCUCCAGAAAGGACCAAAUUCUAGAUCUGCACCGGUGAUCGGCAAUGCAGCAUGUGACGGUGCAGGACAUCAGGAUUUGGGGCGCCAGCUUUGAGAUUUGUGGUACGGUCAACGAGAUCUCCAGGAUUGCGAGAUCGGCGGGAUGUGACGUUGCGACAGCAUGGAUCGCGGUAGAUCCCCAAAUCUCGAAGGAUCCUGUCAAGAUUGAGAGAGAGAGAGAGAGAGAGCGAGAGAGAGAGAGAGAGAGAGAGCCUGUAACCGGAGGAAAAUAGCACUCGAAGAGCUGAGGAGUCAACACGUCAUAGGUAGAAGACUCGACAUUCAUGUAUUUGUUUGAUUGAACUCAUCAAGGUAAGAACUCCACUUGGCAUGACGUGCAUUAACUUUCUUCUUAGAACUCAAGUACCUUAAAGCUUGAUGAUCGGAAUAAACCACAAACUCCUGAUAAGCCAAAUAAUGCUCCCAAUGCUGAAUAGCUCUCACCAAAGCAUAAAACUUUAUGUCAUAGGUGGAAUAACGUCGUUUAGCAUCAGAUAGCUUCUCGCUGAAAAACUCUAUGGGCUUCCCAUCUUGACUAAGAACUGUCCUGAUUCUAGUAUGAGAUGCAUCACACUCCAGAAUACAUAGUUUUUCAAAAUCAGGUAAUGAAAGAAUCGUGCUUUAGUCAUCAUAGUCUUAAUGUGUUCAAAGGGUCUUUGGGCUGAUUUCAACCAUUCGAAACUAUCCUUCUUCAAACAUUCAGUUAUAGGACUCAUAACGGAGCUGAAAUUCUUAUGAACCUCCUAUAAAAAGAAGCUAACCCAUGGAAGCUUCGAUCUUCUUUAAUGGUUCGUGGUAUAGGCCACUCCCUAAUGGCCCGUACCUUUCCCAGAUCAAGUUUUAUGCCUUAAGCUGAAAUAAUAAACCCCAAAAAUACAACUUUAUGGUACAUGAAAGAACAUAAACAUAUAUAAUCGAUUCCAAUAUUGUAAGCGGCCGUUUGGUUGGGGGAUGGAGGGGAUAAGGGGUUAUCCCCCCUUCUUCCCAAACACAAAAAAAAGGGUGGGAUAGCUAUCCUAUUCCUUGUGUGGGAAUAGGGGUGGGAAAAAUUUAUAAUUUGUAAUCUUAAAGUUAAAAUUUUAUAAUUUUAAAUUUUAAAUUGAUAUUUUAAAUUUUUUAAAUUUAAAAUUUGAUAUUUUAGAUAUUUAAAUUUAGAUUUAAUCUUAAACUUAAAGUUUAAAAUUUAAAAUUUAGAACUUUGAAUUUUCGAAUUUGAGAUUUAAAAAUUUAAAUUUAAAUUUUGAAAUUUGAAAUUUAAAAGUUAUAUAUUUAAAUUUAAAAAUUUAAAUAUAAAAUUUAAAAAUUUAAAUUCAAAUAUAAUAUAAGGGGCAAUAUCAUUAUUUUCUAUUUAUAACUACCCACUAUUUUUCUUAUUCUGUUUUAUCUAUCCAAACGCUAUUUUUCUUAUUUCCGUAAACAACUCAAUUUUCAUCCAAACGCAAAAUUGGUCUAUUCUAGGCUUAUACCUGAAUUUAUAGCUAUCCCUAGAAUAAAAAGUUCUUGCUUAUACCCGAACCAAAUGAAGCCUAAAGAAGUAAGAAUCACUAUGAAAAUGUUUAGAUAAUACCUAUGCAUCGUGAACUCAACUGGUGAAAAAUUUGAGCCUUCGCUUUGAGUUUUCUUUCGAUUUCUUUGCAGAAUCUUCUAGUCUUCAGAUAUCAAAAUCAUGAACUGAACCCUUUUAAAGACUUCGAUUCAAACCACGAAAUAUGCUAAUAUAAAAUCUGUAAUAAAAAGGAUUAAUAUGGCUGAUUUUAUAUGAUCAGGCUACAAGUCAUAUAACAUUGGCCUUUUUGCAUAAAAAAUCCUCCGAUUUUACAUUCUUUCAAAAAUAGACAACCAUUUGGAUUUUGCAUGUUUGGCCCGAAUAUUUAGUAAAUUGAUCAAAAUGCCCUUAUUUUCUCUCAUUUUUUUUUCUUUUAUUCAUUUUUCUUCUCUUGCUCCCGAUUUGCCUCCCUCGUUCUCGCCGUUUCUUACUCUUCCACUCUCACUUCCUCUCCCUUCUCUUUCGCCAUUGCCCCCACAUUGACACCAUGCUUCGCUCUCUUACAUCGCCCACAUCUCCGACGUUUGCACGUUUGCUCGAAUAUGGCACAGAUCGCGACUGUGCGACAGCAAUGUUGACGAGAGCACCGUAGGAUUUGAGGAUGAUGAGGAAGGAGAGCACGUCGGGGCGGGGUCGGCAGCUAUAGCACAAGACGAGAGAGGGGGUGUGAUAGCUGGAAAAGAUGUAGAUGGUGAAAGAAAAAGAAAAAGAAAGAAUAAAAAAUAAAAAAAUUAAUUUUCUUCGUUUGUAAAGAUCAUCAUCUGUCGUGAGUCGUGGCCGCUACAAAAAAAGUCAAGAAGUAGAGAAGAAAGAGAAAGAAGACGAAAUGGCAUUGUUUGAGAUGAAAUUGCACUCGUUGAGCCAAAAGUUGCACCAUUUAAAUUAUUUGAGACUAAGUUGCACUAUAUAAAAUAGAAGUUGUACUGUUUGAGAUUUAAGUUGCACUGUUUGAGACUUUAGUUGCACUAUUUAAGACCAAGUCUCAAACAGUGCCACUUAGACCAAUUUGCAUAAAAUGGUGCAACUUAAAGUCUAAAAUAAUGCAACUGCUUUAUGUGGUGCAAUUCAGUCUCAAAUAGUUUUAAAUGGUGCAACUUUCGCUUCAAGGAGUUAAACUUUUGUUUCAAAGAGUGCAACUUUCGUCUCAAAUAGUGCAACUUCGUCUUCUUCUUUCUUCUCUGCUUCUUGGCCUUUUCUGUAGCAGUUACGACACAUGAUGGUCUUCCCAGGAGAAGAAAAAUAUAAUUUUCUUUAAUUUUUUUUUACCUUUGAAAUCAUUUUUCCCUGUCGUGCCCUUGUUCUCUUACGGUGCACCCGCUGCCUCUGCCCCGGCGUGCUCUCUCUCCCCGUCGCUCUCAAAUCCUGCGGCACCUUCGCAAUCUAUGCCAUGCGCUUUGCCGCCAGCUCACCUCCGCAAUCUCGGCCAUGUUCGAACCAAUGUCGGCGGCGGUGUAAACGAGAUAAGAGAGCAGAGCGUGGCAUUGAUGUAGAGGCAGUGGAGGAGGAGGAGGAGGAGGAGAGGGAGAGGAUGCAAGAGAAGGAGAGGAAAAAAUGGCGAGGAAGAGGUAGACGAAGCAGGAGCGAGAGGAGAAAGACGAAUGAGAGAAAAAAAGGAGAAAAAAAGGAAUAAGAGUAUUUUGGUUAGUUUUUAAAAAUUCGUGCCGUAUCUGUAAAAUCUAAAAUGCUGGCUCGGUUUUGCAAAAAGGCAAAACUGGUGGAUGUUUUAUGCAAAAAGGCAUAUAACUUUCAAUGGUAUGAUGCUCUCUUUCCGCUCUUCAGGCAAUCUUCUUAAUGAUAGAAACAAUUAUAAAAAAAUUCUCUUGUAUUAGUGUAGUAAUAUUAACAUACUCUUGCCUUAUAUGAUGGAGAUGAUUUGUAAAAGUUGUUUUGACUACUACCAUAUGUGGAACAGAGUUGGUAUACCUAUUUUUUGAUAAUUCUUCUGCCAGUACAGUGCUACUAAGGCCUAACAGAGUCCAACUUAACCUUCCUGAUUUUUCCGCUUGGUUCUUUCGGGGUCCAUGCUCAUAACAGGGGUGCAGCAUGACUUCUUUGGGACUUUAGAAUUUAACACCCCAGAUCUCACAUAAAAAGAAGAAUGUCUUUGAGAAUGUUGCAUUUUAAGCGUGUUAUCUCACAUGGUGAGAGCAUUUUAAUUGCUUGCUAACAGCCUAACCGAUAAGAACACAUUUGCUGCUGUGUGUUUAUAGUGCUAUCAAUGAUAUAAGGGCCCAACGGCAUGGGCCAUGCCCAUCGUGAUGUACUGUGCUAAUCAGUGAUAUGACCUCUGUGCCAAUGGCACAGCUAAAGAUCUCUUUUUUUUUUCAUAAUUAGUUAGUAAUUACAUGAGUGUAGUAUAAGAUAUUUGAUAAGAGAUAUAUUAAGAGCAAGAAGAAUUUACUGGUGCCAAAGAAAAUGAAUCUUGUUCAUGCCAAAAUGGAUGACACAUAAGAGUUAUGUCAACGGCACACAUUGGCAUGGUGGGAUAUGAUUCCAAAGAAAUUUAACUUUUUCCUGCUGAAGUGUGACAAGGCACAAGUAUUUUGUCAAUGGCCCACAUGCAUGUUGAACUGUGACGACAAGUGCCUAGUACAAACUCGUUCCGUGGCACUUUGUAUGGUCGUCAACAAAUUGCUUUUUAAGUUGCUGCUAAUGAAAUUAAAUCAUCUUUUAAAUUUAUCAGGUGCCUAAGUAAAUUGGCAAGGUUUAAUCCCUUGUAAGAGAAACUUGAAUGCUUAAAUAAUACGUUUCUUGCAAGUUUAAGAAAAGAAAAGUAUUAAUGUGUAGCUUCUUUUAAUUGCUUACUGAUGUGGUAAGGGACACGAAAAAAAGAUCAUGGGAGGACAAUAGGCAAAUGAAAAUCACUAGAGAAUCAAACAAUCAAGUAGUAACUACUGAAGUAUAACAAAUGAUUGCAUGUUAGCAGAAAUGAUUUUUGCUUACACUCUAUACAAAAAUAAGACGUUAACUGCCUGAUGUACACAUUUUUUUAUCUGUUAAUCUUAUGUUUGACAUAGUUUCUCUAAUCAAAGAUGUUUGUAUAUUCUGAUACGAAUUUGCAGAUACGAGAAAUCUGGAAACGAACAAUUUGUGACUGAAAUCAGCAAAUGGGUCUUCCACGAAAGGGGCCAUCUCAAGGUGAAACAUUUAACAUGACAAUAACUCGUCGGUUAUCCGUUUUGUUUUUGUCCCCUUAUGUGUAUCUUGUCCCCCCUAGAUUGACUGUAUGCUAAUUAAAAUCGUGCCAGACAAAAUCGUACACUUGGGAGUUUUCUACCAAUUGACAAUUGCAAAAUUAAUCAAGGACAUUGCUGGAACCUAGGCACCUUUAAUUGCAUAAAACUUGAGAAAAACAAAUAACAUUAUGACAAAUGACAAGAGUACAGCUUGCUUUUGAUCUCUUAUAAUUUUGUGGUAAAUAUCUUCAAUUAUUAGUUUCCAAUUGAUCGAUGAAUGUUACAUUUAUGGUUUUUCAGGCUGUCAAUGUCAGCCAUCGCAAAGUUGGAGAAAUGACAGAACCUGCAAUGUACCGUAUAAAUGAUGAUUUGGUAAAUGUCAUAAUAAUGGUCGUGACAAAUGAUAUCAUGAAAAAAAGAAGAUAUUUUCUUCUCUCUUAUUUGAUUCCUAACUUUGAUAUUUGUUUUAGGAAUACUCUGUUGAAAUCUAUGAAUGGUCUGGAACAAGCUGGGAACCUUAUGUUGCUGAUGAUGUUCAAGUUCAAUUCUACAUGAUGAGUCCCUAUGUUUUAAAAACAUUGUCGAAUAACCAGAAGGUAUGUUUCAGUGACACUAACACGUGUAUUUGGAGAAUGAUUGACCUUCUCGUAGUAACACACUCAUGAUAUUUUUUUAUAGGGUCUUUAUUCGACAUCCUUUAAAGUUCCAGAUGUCUACGGAGUUUUCCAAUUUAAGGUUGAGUACCAAAGGCUUGGAUAUACCAGUCUCCGUCUCGCAAAGCAGGUUAGCUAUGCUUUUGAAGUUUUUACUUUUCAGCUUAAAAAAAGUUGGUUUUGCAGCAUUUAGCUGUGGUUUCUCUGCAUAGGUCGUAAUUGUAGGAUGAAAUGGCAUAGUUUUCAGAUGCUGGAAUUUGGUUUCAGCAUAUGCCUUCAUGCAAGAACUAAUUGGGCACUGAUUAUUCUUUUUACAUGUUUUACAUCCUGUCUUGAGAGGUAGAAGGAUGCACAUGAAUGAAGAUUUUUGUUGGUCACUUUGUAAUACGAAAAUGGAAUAGAUAUGGUUGAUGCUGUUUUUUUAGCAAGUUAAUCUAAACCACGGGCCCCUCUAUUUUAACUUGACUCACUGGUAUUUCUCUCAAAUUUAGGGUUUCUGAGUAUGGAACCCCUCUUCAGCAUUUAAAUUCCUUCUACAAGAAUAAAUCUGAAAAAAGGCUUUCAAAGUAUGUAUAUAGAAGAUUAAUCAACACUUCUUGCUAUUAUGUGAUUAGGUUUCUGAUCUUCAUGAUGAGAUCAGGGUUUCUGACGUUGACAUAGAAAUUUUAGAUAUUUACAUCCAUUUCUUUUGAGUGCAAAUGGGCUUUUUGCUGAUAUAAUGGUAAUUCUGUUAUCUGAAGUAACAUUUCGGACAUUAAAUAUUUAAAAUUCAUUACUAGAUAUUUUGCCAUAAAAGGGGUUUAACAAUCUUCUAUCUGGAUGAUUGCAUUACUACGAGGCAGGAAGAUGGUCUAUAUGUGUUAUGCCCUGGGCAUUUUUGGAAAGUAUUUUCGAAAAAUCCUUCCAUUUUGAAAAUAAAGUCUUGCGGAAAAACGUAUAAUUUUUUUUUCGUUUUUUACACCUUGCCUGAGACGUACAUAAACUCACCAUACGCGCAGAGUUUUCUCUAUCCACACGGAUAGUCUUUCUUGUACAUGCACGGCGUAGGAGCACAGGUACACAACCACAAGUGACCAGAAUAAAGAGGAAUUAACAACAGAUACAACUACUACAAUUCAAAACCAUACCUAGGAAUUUACUAAACCACUACAAUAGGAAAAACCCAAGUAAAACUAUCUCAAAACUAAGUCACAUAAACAAAUGAUAACAAUAAGAAAGUAAAUCAGGGACGAGUAACAAGGUCCACAGCACGAGUCAAGGAUUAAAGUGUCAUGGCACGGAAGCGUGUCUGUUGUAGCCUGGCAUGGUAUGGCACAGGCAUGCCUCGGUGCUGACACGUGGCACGCUUGCGUGUCGAUGGAUACGCAUAACCUCCUAGUGGCACGUUUUGGCACAAUUUUUUUUAGUUUUUUUUUGUUUCCAAUAAACUCUUAUACUAUUUUGAAAGAUUUAGAAAAAUAAUUAUAAAUAUUGGCUAUGUAUAGUUUAUUAGUUAUCACACUCAGCAAUUAAUAUAGUAAUAGAUAUUUUAUAUAUGUAAAGUAAAAUAUAAUUAGAGAAAAUUAUUUAUUAAAAAAUUGAUUAACUUUGAAAAUAUUUUGAUUUUACCUUUUUUCAAAAAUUUAAAAACUUUAAAAUACAAAAUUAGAGAAAAUUAUUUUUUCUUAAAGUUUUCAUGGGAUUUGCAAGAUUCAAUAACAUUGAUUCGAUGAGAGAUCGCAUGAUGACUAGAUUAACUAAAAUAGCACUAUUGCUCCAAUAAUUUCUUUUAAUUUUGAAUCUAUUAAAAAUAUUUAUUAAAAUUUUGAAGAAAAUUUAUUUUUUAUUAAAAUUUUUAAGAAAAAUUGUGAGAUCUAUCAAUAAAAAUUAAUAAUAAAUCAUAUGACGAAUAAUUAAGCAAAUUCAAAUAUCAAUUGCUUAAAUUUUUUUAUUUUAUUUUAUUAAUAUUUUCCAUCUUCUAAAUCCAAAAAUAGAUUUCUCGAAGUUAAAAAAAUUUUGUCGUAAGUCUCAUACCCAUUGCUAGAUUUAUUGAAAAUAAUUAAAAAUCGGACUACAUAAUAACUUAAUCAAGUAGAUCUAUUUUUAAAAUUAUGUAAACUAUAAAUAAAAAUUUACAUAAUUUUAAAUUUCUCCAAAACAGGAACUGUACAAGUUAGAAAUAUUCAAAAUCUAUGAACAAAUUUUAAAAUUGUAAAUUUUUUAUUUAUCUAAUAAGUACAUCUUCAACUUGAAAGUAGAAAUAGAAGGAAAUAAAAGAAGAAAUUAGAGAAAAAAUUAUAAUAAGGGAGGAAAAAUAGAAAGAAAAAAAACGAGAGGAAGAGAUAGUGAGAAGAAAAGAAAGGAAAAGACUAAAAGAGAGAGUUGAAGGGAAGAAAAGAUAGAAUAGAAUGAGAGAGAGGGAUAAAAAUAAAUCCAAAAGUAGGCACAAAGCAAAAAAAAUGGUUAAAACUUAAAACGCUGCUGCGUGCCCAUAUAGGCACGCAGUGGCAUUGUGCCGCGAUACCCUUUGGGUAUCAUGCUGUCUCGCAAGAUACCUUUUGGGUAUCGUGGCACGAGAGGUCUAAGAAAGACCACCCCUGUAUCAUGCCCCUUAAUUGCUGGCACGAUACGUAUCGUUCUGUGCCGACCGGUAUAGUAGAUACUUUAACCCUUAGCACGAGCUAUCUAGCCGCUAACUAUCCACGUCCUCACACCCACGGUAGAUACUUUAAUCCUUGGCACGAGCUAUCUAGGCGCUAACUAUCCACGUCUUCACACCGCGCCUCGACUCACACUGUCAGCAACACCUGUAAAAAGUGGGGUGAAAAACAUAUAAAUAUGUUUUCAAGUGAGGGCAACUAGCCGGCAAGGGUAAGCCGAACUCACCGUUCAACAAAGGAGUACGAUAAACGAAUAACUGCAGAUAUAGUGUAAUCAACUAUAGUAGCAUUGUGGGUAGAUAGAUAAAUAUCAUAAAGUGGUAUACAACAUAAUGCCGCUACUGUAACCAUAAAUCAAGAUACUAAACAUGAUGGAUACAACCAACCACACUAAUAAGAGAAUCAUCGAAUAACUGCCAUGAACAAAUAAAUCAAGAGAUACUGCUACUGUAAACAAAGUGGUAUACAAAUGCAAUAGGAACACCAACUACGGUAGUAAGAUGAUAAACUACGAAAUAUCAUCAAUCACUAAACGAGGAAUGCCACUACUGUAAUCCAAAUAACUACAUGAACACCAUGCAUAACUCAUUAGACAUUUGCUAUGCAUCAGUUGGAUAUGUGAUUACUUUGCAUCAACUGGAUAUGUGAGAAGUCCAAGGUAUACCCAAUCAUCAUGAUCUGCCAUAAUGACCAGGCCUAAGCUUGCACGCUAGGUCGCAAAGACCAACAAAUCAAGUAUCACUCCGGAGGGACAAUCACCUGCACCCAUAGUCGCUAAUUCUGUCUAAACGCAGUGUAUAUCAAAUCUGGGGGUGAAGAAGUCAGGGUGGCGAACCCUGUCUAUGAAACAACACCCCCAACUAGGCUGGCAACUGAAGAACCCAAGGUUGUGAACCCUGUGUAAGACUCUUACAGUGCCGUCACAAGCUAUUGUUACAUGUGUAUGCUCAAAGCUCCAAUAACCGAGACUCAACAGUCAGACCAAUGUCCGUAGGCAACAAUAGGAGCCAAAAGGUAAUCUCAAGAGAUGUCAACGAAGACAAUAAAGUCCAUACUCUCCAAGUCGAUUAGCAUGCUACACUACACGAGUAUAUAGGAAAGUGACAAUAAUGCAGGUAACCAAGGUGAAGCAUGCUGAGACCCAAUCAUGACAGGAAUAGUCAUUCGACCCCUAGGGUCAAUUGUGGAAAUAAACAUCGAUCAACUAGGUCAAUCUCACAGAGCAAAUCGCCGACCAUAUGGUCAAGUCUCACAGGAGAUAAAUCAACCAACUAACAUAGUCAUAACCCGACGAGGAGUAAACACCGACGUAUCAGAUCCUAUCAUGUACAGGUGGAUAGUCCACUAGAUCACAGUCUACUAUACAUGCUGUAUAAUAUUCAUCGAUGGGAAUCAGUCAUGAAACAAAUAGAUAGCAUGAUACAGGCAUGUACAAUAAGAGCACAUACAAGCAUAGCACCAUGGUAAGUUGUACUACUCAACCGCUAUAUAGUAUAGAUCAAGCAUAGAGGAAACAGAGUAAGAUAUAAUUUUACCGACUUAGGAAUGGAGCACCCACCUCACCAAGUAUCCGAGUUCUCGACUCGACCGAUGUAUCUAACCGUCACUUGUACAGAAGAUACAAUCACCAAAUAUCAUAUAAUUAGAACCCUACGUGCCAUCUAUACUAACCAAUACGUUCAAUCCACACCAAUGUGCACCACGACACAACCGGAACUCUAAUUUCGCAGACCGGGUUAUCGAACUAAGCCCAAGGAUUAACCGAUUCAACAAAGAGUCAUAACAAUGCUAUUACUGUCCUUAGAGGCACAACUUUAGGUGUUGGAAUGACCGCAUGCCAAGUGCUUAACGAACUGGAUAACAACUACUGAGCAAAGCCACGAUGGGGCCUAAAGUCACUACAAUAAUCUGAACACCACUAUCCAGCACUCCCCAUGACACAUCAAGCAUCGAAAAGCUAAGUACAUAGUGUAAUCGCACAUCACAUCAAAUAAAGCAAUGAAAAGGAGAUUUCGGGUAAUUUACUAAACUUCCACAAUCCGAAAGUGGACCAACAGUGCACGCCUGCACGGGGAUCGAUGAUGUGCCGCUGGCUGCAACAAAAUAGAACCAAAAUCACGACGAUGAUCCACAAUGAUUGGAGAACGAGAACAAGCCGUGCGGAGCCGACUUGGGUACACCACGUUUGCAACUCCUCAGGUUGUCCGAAACACACCAGCGAGGUGAGCACAACGUAUAGGAAUGCUAGACGAUCAACAUCCUCACAAGGACCGCGAUCCCCUGCCACCGAGUUGACCGGAAAGCCAACUGCUAAAAACAAGUCAAUUAAUCGAGCAUUUUGUGAGCGACAUGGAAAAUAGUAAUCCGAAACACAUUUACUUGAAUUUGGGGGAGCGUGGCACCACAUAGAAGUCGAGGGAUGAUGUGCUCACAAGCGGAGGGUCGCUGGAGGCCCCGAUUGGUCGAAAUAGUGCCCACGGCCGAGAGCAAGGCCCAAGCAAGCAAGUCGGGGCAGUAGCAACAGUAGCUACAUACAGGGGGUUUUGCAAGCUUAAUAGAGAACUGGGGGAGGUAAGCCUGGAGGAGGGGAGGCCGGAGCGCACGCUGGCCGGCGGUGGCCAUGACGGCGGCGGUUGGAGGAGCAAGCUCAACCACCACAAGAGCCAAUAAUGGCCACAACAGCAAAAUAAAUCAAAGGAGUUGCAGGCUUGGUCCAGGAAGCAUUGAGGGAGGUGGAGAGAGAAGGCUGGAUGGCAAUGGAGGAGCGCCGGCGAUAGCGACAGGAGAAGCAAUGGCCCCAGAUCGGGCCGCACACUGUUGUGCGUGCGCGGCGUGGUUGGGAAGGGUGGUCGCUGGGGUUUUCCGGCCUGGAUGCGGCGGCGGCGACCACGGCCUUAACCCAAGUGGAAGGGUCAACUCUCUCUCUCUCUCUCUCUCUCUCUCUCUCUCUAUAUAUAUAUAUAUAUAUAUAUAUAUAUAUGUAUGUAUUUGUAUAUGUAUGUAUGUAUGUAUAGAGAGAGAGAGAAGAGAAAGAGAUGGGCGAAGGGAGGAGGUUUGUUGCAGUGCAGCGUUGGAGCAAGGAGGGGGUGGUGGCUGAGGCUUGAAGAGAGGGAGGGGAUUAGGUUAUAGGGUUAAAUAUAAUAUAUACACACACGCACAAUACAUAUAUAUAUAUCCCACUUUGUGCAACAAUUGCAGCUUUCACCUCUGACUGUUCCCCCUAUGCGCCCUGCUCCAGAGCACAGCACAUUUUGCAGAGGAACCCCUCCUAUAGUAAAAUUUCACUGUUUCACAUUUAAAUUGUCAGGCAUUUUGUGAAGUGAUCCCUCGUUCAAAUUUCUCUCUUCUACUUCCCUUUAGUGCCAUUUUGCACAAAAAUGUCAGAAUUUCAUGAAACUUGAAUCCACCUAUUCCUCUUUGGGUCUAUUUUCACAUUAGUCCUGCUUGUGGAAAUUUCAGUAUUUCUUCCAUGAAUUGAUAACCCCUUCGCGCAUUGCCCCUUUUUCACAAGUUGCAAAAAUUGCAAUUUAAUCCCUCAUGUUCAUAGUUUCAUAUCCAAAACUCACCGAUAGGUGUGUUUUGCUCAUAAGUUCCCCCACCUCAAAAAUUGCCCACUUUGACACAUGAAAUGUCUCGCUUUUUGAAUGGAAACUCUGUUUCAAUUAUUUUGCACGCAUUCAAUUUAUAUCCUCAGAACAUCAGUUUAUCACAUGAAAUUUCACCGAGGCCCCCACAUGACCUACAGCACUGGAAAUCCAUGAAAGUGACCAUUUUCGUUUUGAUGCAAACUGCUCUGAAAUCUGUGAUAAUACACUCUCUUUUAAGAAACUCACUGUUAGAUGGCCUGGGUUCUACGAUGUGUUAAUUUGAAAUCUCCCUUAUUAAGCUUUUUCUGUUUAUGUUGAAGAUGUUAUAACAAACUCAAUGGAGGAGAACAGGUCAUGCUAAGGAAAUUUAUCAGGCUGCAAGUCAAAGUUAUCAUGCAAUCUCUCUUAAGCCUCGUUUGGCAUCAUUGUUGUUUUUCUUUUGAUUUUUUAAACACCAAUUCUAUAUACGUCGAUAUACCAAUAAAAAGGCUUUCUUGUUUUUGUUAUUGGUUAGAUUGCAACACACCUAGCCAAGUCAUGGAUGACACGCGCACACACAAAUCUUGGUAACUAAGAAAGUUCCUUCCAUGUUUUUCCUUUUUGUUGUCAAACAAACACCAUGGAUGUAAGGAUUGCAAGCGUUCUACCAUCCCCUCCUACGGUACUUCAUAUCGAAAUUAUAUUUGAAAGAAAAAAAAUAAAAAAAACAACAACGAUGCUAACUGAGGCCUUAUAUUGUUGUUUCUUAAUCAGUGAUUCAUGAACAAAAUCAAUUAAAGAGAUUCAUUUGUACGUCAUAGUUAAACUUAAUUGGUCAGGGUAUGUGCUGCUUGCUGUACUGAAGAAUAUCCACAUAAGCAAAUUGUUGCUAAAAAUGAAGAAAAAGAUCCGUAAGAAACCAUUAGGCCAUUAGAGAAUUUUUUAAAUUUAGAGCAUUACUUGAUUCUUGAACUAGAGAAGACUCCAUGGAAUGCUUUGUUCGUAUCUUGUGAGAAGUUACCAAUCUAGUUGCUAAUCUAUUCUAUGGGAGCCAUUUAUAUAUCUAAAGAACUCAAGCGAGGUAUCUGAGGAGCUAUUUGGUUGCAAUAAUACUGGCAGACUGUAGUAUGUGGGUAUGGGCUGAUCGGACCAAGAUUUGAUUAGAUUGGAUAGCCCUCAAAUUUGUCACCACAUAUUGUAGGUGAAAACUGAGAAGCUUUAAAGAAGACCUAUCUCUCAGCAUAUCAUGUUUUUAGACGAAGUCGUAUGCAGGUGGUAAAAGUUACCAAUUAUUGUGAUGCAGUAAGGAAGCUCUCAGUAAUUUUAUUCUAUCUAGUUUAGUUUUGGUCUGGACUCAUCAUCAUUGGUGGUCAAUGAUAAUUAAUCAUCACUUCUAGGUUAUUUUUCCUUUUGUUUUCCUAGAUGGCUGCCCUUCCCCUGAUUCCUUUCAUUGUGCGACUCUUUCAUAUAUGGAUUUCUUGCUUCCUUAUUUGUUUUGACUUGCUUGUUCAUUAUGGGUUUUAUUCGUAGUGAUUGCUUUGGGUUUAAUAUUAAUCUCCAGCUAGCGUUGAUUUUAGGCAUCUUUUAGCUUGGCAGCAUUUUUGUGGCUUUUGGAAAUCUUUCUUGCUGUCCUUGUCUUCUCUCUCUCACUUAACUUUGAACUGGGUGUUCUCUUCUCUAUAUUUCCCGUAUCUUUUUCACCAUAUUCUCCUUCACUUUUUCCUUUUUUUUCUUUUUGGUUGCAGUGUGGCCCUUCCUCUAUUUUGGGUUUGUUUCCAAUGCUGUUUUUCUUCUGUCCAACCUACCUGUGAACAGGAUUUUAUGUGCCGUGGCACGGGGUCGUGCCGGAAACUUGCUCGGCACGGUGUACCUACUCCAUGCAAGCCCGGUCGUCCGCAGCACGGUCCGCAGAUGUCUCUUUAUAUUCACGAGCCGCCAUAGCACCUGUGCUGCUAGCCGUAACUCUCCGAUGCGUGUGGCCGGUUUAAAAAAUUCUUUGUGUGCCGACACAUAAUAGCAUUAUUCUUUCAUUAAAAUAUUCUAACUAUUUAUUAUGUCUUUUUUAUCACAUCUUUUAACUUUAUUGAGGAAAUUACUUACUAAUUUAAAAAAUAGAGGGUUUUGAGCUGUCUGCAUUGGUACGAGAUCUGUAUCGUACCGGUAUCUUAUUGGGACGGUACGGUACGGUAGAUACGGUCGUACCGACGGGGCACUUAAAACCUUGCCUGUGAAGGCCCACUUCCCAGGGUCAUCUAUUCUAAAAGCAUGCUUAGCCCUCUUAACAAGGUUUUAAGUGCCGGGCGUGCCGUACGGCACGCCCCGUGCCGGUUACAGGGGGGGUAUCGCACCCCCCCGUGUGUCGGCGGCACGCUGGUGCGUGCCGCUGGAGACAAAGCGGCACGUACCAGCGUGCCGCCGGCACGUACCGGCGUGCCACCGGGUUUUUUUUUUUUGACUUUUUGGCUUUUUUUUUUUUUUUGUUCUCUGGGAUACAACCCCCAGGCCAUCUAUAUUGUAUUUUUUCCUUUUAUCUUAUAUAUUUGACAUCGUGAUGCCUUUUUGUCAACUCUUUUUUUUUUUUUUUUUUUUUUGCCUUUGGCUUUUUUUGGUUUUUCUUUUAUUAAAUUAAAAACUUAUAAUUUAACUUAUUAUUUAUCUGAUCCAUAUGUCGGCCCUGAGCCCUCCGCUUCCACCACUGAUAUCCAUUUUUUCUUCACAAAAUAUUUUAUCAAAAUUUGUCGCACGCGAAACUUUCGAUGAAUCAAAGAAACAAAAAUCGAUUUCCUAAACAAAUUUUGAUCAAUAUUUUUAAUAAGAACAAAAAAAAAAAAAUAUAGAUGUAAUAUUGGGAAUAUAUGAAUUUCUCACAAUGCCAGCAAUACUUGUAUCAAUAUUGUCAAAUAAAUCUUGUAUCCGCAGAUAACAAUAUGACAUAUGAUCCAGCGCGACGAUCUAUGUGAAAUUAAGCAGUCAUCUCUAUGUAAAGAUGUAAAUUUAAAUAAUUAUUGUACUGUGAAUUUUAUUAUUAUAUUUUAAUUUCUAUUCUAUAUCAGGUAUAGCUGUAUUUUACUUACAAAAAGCUUUCAUGCAUGUUAUUUGAUGAGUAUAGUAAGAUGUACAUAAUAAAUAUUCAUAUUAUUUUGUUUAAAUCUUUCAAAAUAAUAUUAUAAGAGUUUACUGGAACCAAAAAAGCUAAAAUAAGUCCGUGCCAAAGCGUGCCAGCAGGAGGUCGUGCGUAUCUGUCGGCACGCAAGCGUGCCACGUGUCGGCACGCAAGCGUGCCCGUGCCGUACCGUGCCAGGGACGUAACGGCACGCCCCCGUGCCACGGCACUUUAAACCUUGCUCUUAACCUCUUUGGCCCAACUACUGUCCAAAAUGCUAUAGCAGGGUUAAAAAGUUUAGUCCUAUUAUAUCCUAUAUAUAGGGCUUCUAAAUUUUAGGGGUGUUACAUUCCUCUUCCCUUUAAGCUUGGAUGUUCUUGUCAGGCUCAAGCAAACUCACAAGUAUUAGACGAUGUGAGUUUCGUCUCACGUGCCUUAGUCGACCUUGUGGGGAGUCGCUCUUUACCAAUAAUGAUCGCCAACCGGGAAGCCACUCUCUACCCGCUGUAUAAUCAUGGCUCAGCCGAGAUUCAUUUCACACUUCCGACUGAUGAUUGGUUCUGAUACCAACUGUGAUUCCCCACUUCCUAGGGGGUCACUCAUUCUAGAACUACUCGAGCCCUUGUAUGCUUAAUCUCUUAACCCGAGGAGCCUAGCCAUCGCCCAAAAUGCUUUAGCUAGAUUAAGAGGAUUAGCCAUAUUAUAUUAUAUAUGUAGUUAUAUUUCAAAUCUUGGGGGUGUCAUCCUGCAACAAAGAUUGGACUAUUUUCUCGAAUUUGUAAGCUACUUUCAAGUAAUUUGGUGGUGAUUUUUGCUUUUCCAUUGAUCGAUUAAUGUAAAUAAGAUCAUAAUAUAGCACCAAGGAUUGACGUGCCAGCCUGCCAGGCAUUGUCUGGGACGACUACCCCAUGCUGAUAAGCUUGCACCGCCAAAAUAUAAAAUAGGGUGUGCUGAGGCAUGCCGGCAUGCCAUGCCACUGAUAAACAAACACGCUCCAUCACAGUGGAACGGCUAUCUUUAAUAGGAGAUAACUAGAGUAAUAUGACAUCUCUCUUAGACGUUUCUAUUCAUGAGUCACACUUUCUGAGACCCGUUGUAAGCAUGAACAGAAGGGUGACUACAUAACAUUGGAACCUUAGCAUAAAUCUGGCAUCUUCUAGUUAAUCAGUGCUAUGAAUCUCUUUAUGUUUUGGACUAGGAGUAGCGAGAUUUUUCUGAUUAUAGAUAAGUUAGGCAUCCUUGGAAAGAAACACAUGUACUAAGUAUACAAAUGCACGUGUGCGUGCUCACACACUUUUCUGCACUUGCGUGGGUGUGCAUAUUUGCUUCUAAGCUCCACUUUCUAAAAUCAGACGUACAUGAAAAUAUUUCUUUUAUAUUCAAGAUAAUCAUGAAAUUUUUAUAAUCUGAAAUAAAUACCCAAAAGCAUAUAUUGAUAUGAGAUGUACUUAUGGUAACAAAGUAUGUUUGAAUGAUGGAAAUAUUCUUUAUGGACAUCAUAAAAGUGAUAUCAAUGAACUCUUUUGGGCAAUAUUUCAGUUAUUUUGUUGCUUUGAUCGUGUUCUUUUAGCUAGUGGUACAUCAGCAUAUUGUCUAGGGAAAAAUACGUGUAUAGGAAUGACAUUACCAUUAACAAGAAACAUGUGCAUACUUAACUAUAUUCUUAAAGGAUACAAUAGUAUGUUGGUGGCUAAGAACCGUGUAGUGGCUGUGUAAUAUGUGGGUGCAUCUGUACUUAGCAAGUUACAUAUGAAACAGUCCCCUAACAAUACAGCUAAAUGUUUUUGGUAGAGCAAUAUAAGAAUAUGUAGCAUAUGGAAGGGGGCAAACAAAAUAAAAUAUAAGAAUAAAGAAGAUAAAGAACAUCUAAAGACCUGCACAUUGAUGGUCAAUUGAUUGUUUUGUUUAUCAGCAUAACAACAAUGCUUCAUUUCCCUUGACCUUUAAGUGCACGUUUGGGUGUACGUUUUGGAUGACUUGCAGGGCCUCCAACCCAAAAACCCAACAUGCACUCCUUUUUGAAUGUGGAUGCUGACAAAUUUCUUGUCGGCACAUUGAAAACCUAUGCAAAUGGAGUUGAAGAGAACUACAUGGUCUACAAGUUGCUACCAUGUUUUUGUGAGGCAAUACAAAAGAUGUCCGAGAGAGAGGGAGAGAGGGAGGGAGGGUAUCCAAAUUACGCUAGAGGAGAUUGCCUCUGAAUUUAUGGCUAACACUCGGGAGAUAACUUCCGUUAGUUCAUGGCCAAAGUUCUUUAUCAGGAGGCUGCUUUAACUUUAACUUUUAGUUCUUUAUGGCUUUUAUCUACAGGUUGCGGCUAUAGAAAUUUGUAUACUUGAUAUUUUGGAAUGAAUGUUUAAUAGUGAAAAGUUAACCUCUUGUUACUUUAGACUAAUGUGUUUCUUGGUUACUUAAUUAUUGUCUCGUAUAUCAUGAUAAUUGUUCUUCUAUUUGAUUGAACAAGAUUAUCUUGUUUGUUUUUUUAUUUCAUCGAAUAAGAUUGCGUGACUUCUUGGCCUUAAAUUGCUGUACCUGUGCGCAACGCAGAUUCCUGUUCGUCCUUUCAGACACAAUGAGUAUGAGAGAUUCAUAACAGCAGCAUAUCCAUAUUACGGGGCAUCAUUUUCUACUGUAAGUACUUUUGUUAAUCUUUUUUAUUCUUAUUCUGCAUCAUUUAUCUGGCAUCAUUGCUUGAUGUUAUCUAACCAUGUCAAUGCUGUAUAAGGACCUUGCUCAACUGUCGAUCUUUAAUAUCAGACUACGCCGCAGAUCUGUAGGAUCCUUAUUUUAAUCUGUAUGUAAUUUUGAAAUAUUGGAUGAUAAAAUGAAACUAAAAGUCAGGCUUAUUCUUCGCUGAAUAAACUUUCUUGUAGAUCCUUCUCACUGGAUAAAUGGAGCUGGCAAAAUGUAAAAUUAAUUUGUGUACUCAAUAAAUAGAUUUAAAAUAAUUGGUGAACUUGACUAUGAUGGUGUGUGUAAACUAACAUGCGUGCAACUAUAUGAAUUCUAAUUGUUGUUUCCAUCAUCAAUAUUUUAAGCUUUUAAAUUUAUGUGUCUAUUUUCUCAUCUUAGUGCAUAAAUUGUAAAUUUGCUCAACAAUGCAUGCUUUAUCUUUUCAAUCUUUGCUAUGAAGUUGGUCCAACAGAUGACAGUCUUAUCAAUAGUUGUUAGAUAUUGGCGUGGCUUUUCCUCUUAAAAUUUUUUAAAUUUUCUUCUUUGCGUUUACUAGUUCAAAGCAGUUGGCAUAUUGUUAUGUGAGCUUGAGGGUUUAUUGGCUGCUGUCUUCCUAAUAUGCAAAAUUUGAGGAAUCAAAUGCUGCAAUUGAUAUAAUAAUAUGGUAUAAAUGAAAAUUUUGUUCAACAUUCAGUUAGACAUUGCAAUCUAAGCCUAGUUUCGAAUCCAAGGUUUGAGUGUAUUUUCUUCUCAUGUGAUUCAGAUCGAAUGAUAGAAUCAGAUUUUCUUUUCCUUUUGGGUUUUGACCUAAGGAUGUGAUGUUCAAAUCAUUAGUUGGAGGAUUUGUACACAACUAUCCCAAAAUACCGGCACCAUUAUUUGGGCAGUAUUAUGUAUCUUGAUAUUGUUUUGAAUUUAUGCAAAUUAGAAAGGGUCCAUGCUGAUGAAAUUCCUUUUGACUUUUUUGUUGCAGAUGGCGGGAUUCUUCAUCUUCUCCAUUGUCUAUCUUUAUCAUAAGUAGAUGGUAUCAGGAGAAGAUCCGGUUGCGGCCGCUGCUUUUUCCCAGUGUUGGUCAUAUUUUGACUGCAAUGGGAUAGGUGGCUUUUUAAGUUAUUCAAGCUUUUAGCUUUAGCUCAUUUAACAUGCGCUCCAUCAUUAUCUCUAGUACUAGUGUAGUGUUUGUUUUAGAUCAGUUUUUAAAUUUUAUAUGCUACAAUCCGUUCGUUUUUCCCCCCUUCCCCAGUGCUAUGCAAAAUACAAAGGGACUAGAAAAGGUUGGAGCUGCGGAAUGCCAACAACAUUACUAGGUUAACAAACAUACGAUUAUUGUUCGAUGUUUUUGUCUAUUUGUUCACAUUUCUGCUACUAUUUUAGCAAAAUUGUAUUUUUUCUAUUUGAAAUAACUAGAUCGCCUUUGGGUGGUGAAAGGGCGUUGCACUUGGUUCGUAUUGUAAAAGAUUCUAGGAGUUGCUAAAUUAAAGGAAUGUCAUUCAAACAAGAUUUACUAGGGAAUAUAAUAUUUUUGUGUUUGGUUUGAUUGAUGAUUUUUCGUAGAUUACUAAAGGGAUAAUUUCCUUAGUACACCUGAUAUUUACAUAAAUAUCCCUUUAAAAAUUGAAAUAUCGUAAAUACCCCUCUAUAUAUGAAAAACAUUCAAAAAUAGCCUUUAAAAUAAUUUUCUGUGAAAAUGUUAACUAGCGGACCUAUAUACCAAUUUUAACCUUAUCACAAUUGCCCUUAUAAAAUUUUCAAAGGUCACUGACUUAUUAUAAAUUUCAUAAAUGCUCUUCAAAUUUAAAAAUUUCACAUCGAACUUAGUUUGGCUCAACGGUCACUCUUUCAGAAAUGCCCUCCUAAAAUUAGUACAUAAUCCUUCUUUCAUGCCUUUAAAGAAGACCAAGCGAUUGAGUAAAGAAUCUCACGCCUUGAAUGCAAAGUCAUAUUUUAUUUAAAAAUGUUGAUCUUCGUUGUAAGACUUAUAUUGUGUAAGACACUUCGUUAGAGAAAAAUUAUAAGUUUUUAAUAUAAUGAUUUAGAUCUAGAUAUGAAACCUAUAUAAGUCAUUUCAUCAGAAUUUCUCUAUCGAUCAGCUAUUCAAAUAAGAUAAUAUUUUCAUCAUGUUAAAUAUUUUCAAAUGUUUUAUUGUGCAUCUUGUCUUUUAAAAUAAGCUUGAUGUCCCUAAACUUUUAUAAAUAUGCCAAAAUAGCCCACCAUGUCAUCUAAUGUUUAUUUGUUGGUAGAAUUUAAAAUCUAUAGAGAUAAAAAGCAUUAUAAUUAAGAGAAUUGGCUAAUAUAAUCUAUAUCAUAGCAAAUUAACACACAAACAGACUAAUAUAGAUGUAUGAAGAAAUUGAUGCCACUAAAAUACAAAAUAAAAUAGUGCAAGCCACCAACAUACAUUAGUUUUAUAUUUAUCCAAAUACAUUUUGUUUCACAUUUACAUCACAUUUUUCUUUUUAAACACUUCUUAAGAAUCUAUAAUAACCAAAAAGUGCUAAAAAGUAUUUGAAACUAUCCACAACCAAAAUAGCCAAAAAGUAUGUUAAGAGCUAUGCAUCACUAAAAUAUCACUUCGAAGUUUGUGCUAGAAAAUGACAUCAACAAAAAAGUAGUUUUUGAGAUACAAAUGAGUGUGUUGAGAUGCAGUUGAAGGUUCAAUAUUGGAGAAUAUGGAAAAAGAAAGGCUAUCAAAGAAUGGAUCAUGCAUUGGGUCAUCCAUUACUUCUGUUGUUCGUUGGGGUCCUUCACUGUUGGUCGAUUCUCUAGUGCAUUGUGGCAUGGAAGAGAGCCUCUUUCAGAUUUUUUAGUGCAAUAGCCCUUCCCUAAAAUUUUAUUAUAAAAAUAGACUCGUUAAAUUUUUAUUUAUAAAUAUGGUCCUAUAAAAGCGGUGAAUGAUUCACUGCUUUUAAAAGCGGUGAAUCAUUCACCGCUUUCUUUCUUUUUCUCACUUUUUUUUUUUUUUAUAUUUCUGAUGAAUCAUUCACCGUAUUUAGAGGUCUUUUUAUAAUUAUUUUUUUAAAAAAUUAUUUUUAUAAUUAUAAAAAUCGAUAGGUUUAUUUAUAAAANCUUUCAGAUUUUUUAGUGCAAUAGCCCUUCCCUAAAAUUUUAUUAUAAAAAUAGACUCGUUAAAUUUUUAUUUAUAAAUAUGGUCCUAUAAAAGCGGUUUAUAUUUCUACGAUGGUAAAAGCGGUGAAUGGUUCACCACUUUUAUUCUUUUUCUAUUUCUAAAGAAGAGUUAUGAAUGCGAUGAAUCAUUCACCGUAUUUAGAGGUCUUUUUAUAAUUAUUUUUUUAAAAAAUUAUUUUUAUAAUUAUAAAAAUCGAUAGGUUUAUUUAUAAAAAAAAUUCGCCUCUGUCCCUUCUUUUUGGGCCUUUCAUUUUUGGGAUUAUAUUUGGCGCUGUACAUGUAAAAUAUGUACCGGUCUUUUGUCUCUUUCUAUUUUUGGCUUGGCUACUACAAUAUGCAAUAAUUAAUAAUCGGAUUAGAUAGAUGCAAAAUGUGCACUUUAAAUAGAUGCUCGAAUUCAAUUAGUAAUAUGAAUGCAACUCAAUUACCUAGAUCCAAAAGGCGUAUCAGAGGUGGAUGCUUGAGUUCCACAUUGAGGUACUUCUAAUGGUACUGUUGUACCCAUAUACAUUGGAUUCUUGCAUUUUUUUACUAUAACGCCCAAACUGUCCACAUCUUUUACACUUAUGCAUCAUUUUUGUUGGCUCAUCAAGUGCUCUUAAUUCUUUUUUUUUUUAGGUCUAACAGCUGGCCUAGACAUAUUUGGUGGCAAUAAAUUAUAGCUAAGAGCAGAUUUUACCCAACCUUCCUUAUUUGGCAUUGGUGCUACCUCAAAGGCAUAAGCUUCUUUGAGUUUGUGUGCGGUAAAAAUUGAGUCCACAUAUUUCUCUAUUUCUAUACCUCUAAGACUGCCUAUGAAGGCAAAAGCACGCGCACACGGUAGCCCCGUUACCUGUUAUAAUUAAAUUAUAUUAUGAAACAGCUAAAAGUAAUCCAAUCUAAAAUAUUUAGUUAAAAUAUGUUAAUAUUGUUUAGAGUUACUGCUCUAAAGAGCCUAUUUGACUAGAAAAGUAGCAAAAAGAAUCCAAUAAUACUAAUAUUAAAUGAGUUACCUUCUAGACCCUGCAUGUACAACUACUUUGAUCCAAUAGAACCUCACAUCGGUAAUUGGGACCAAUUAUUUCUGCCCUAUUGUCUACACUUCUGCAUAUUUUGUAUGAUCCCAGUCCCUUGCAAUAAUUAAAAAAAAAAAUGAAUGAGUUAAUAAUAUAUUAGAAUAAAGAAUGAAUUAUUCUAUAGUAACAUUUGUGUGCAUACUAUGCUUGCACUUCUAAUGUAUUUCAAGAAACUGAAGAAUUGCGAAAUAAACUAAAAUUCUAGAUACUUCAAGCUCGUUACCUUAGAAUAUUUGAGCCCUUAAAUCCUUUUAAAAUUAGACCCAGGGCAAGGAUUUUAUAAAAUAGAGAUUUCAAAUAUUUUCUUGUGAGAAAUAAGGAGUGUUCAAAAUAGAGAUUUUACUUGAUGUAUACUUGUUGGAGAAUAAGAUAAAACUUCAUCCUGUUUAUCACAUUAUUUAGGAAAAACUUCAAAUACCCAUCUUGUGGUUUCACUCUUUCUCACUUUACUACCCGGUCGUUUAAAGUGUAUCAAGUUAGUACCCUGUGGUUUUGUACUUUUUCACCUUAGUACCCCGUAGUUUAAAGUGUAUCAAGUUAAUCACACUUUCUCACUUUAGUACCCUGUGGUUUAAAAAUCAUAGGGUACUAACUUGAUACAAAAAUAAAAUCACAGAGUACUAACUUGAUACACUUUAAACCACAGAGUACUAAAAUGAGAAAGUGCGAAACCACAUGGUACUAACUUGAUAUACUUUAAACCAUAGGAUACUAAAAUAAAAAAAAGUGAAACCACAGGGAGGGUUUUUGAAGUUUUCCCCAUUAUUUAUUAUCUUCACGUUUCGAAUGUUGUUUUAGAUUGAAUGUUUUGUUGUUAUUGAUAAGCUUGUAUGGCUUUGAUUGUAUUAUAACAUGAUAUCGUGUAUAUAUAAAAAAGACUCUAUUCGUAUAGACAAAAAAUCUUUUAUAUAUAUAUAUAUAUAUAUAUGUGACGGAACUGUUCACGCCUUUGUCAGAUUUCUACAAACUUUGAUUUUCAAUAAAAAAAUUGAGCCCUUCCGAUAAAAACUCUUUUUAAAUUAGGCCCGGGGCAUGAUACGCUUGUUCAUACAUACAUCAGAUUUGUUUGGCAACAACAGCCAGAGAGAUAAUACUAACUUUCACUUUGAACUUUCUUAAAAAAUAACAAACAAAAAAACCUUUUGCAAUCAAGUCAAACUGUACUGCAAGCUACCAACAAUAACAAAAAUAACAAACUCCACCUAUUAGCACAUCCAAUUACAUAAAAUUUUCAUUUAUUAAAGUAUAAAAUGGCAACAUUACAAAUAAAGCCUUAAAGUUCAGCUACCUAUUUCAUGUUGUGCUACAGUUCAGGUAAGGUUGAUACUUAGUUUACCAAUAAUAUUAUCAGCAUAUUCCCAUUAGGAAAUGUAAGAAAAAAAGAAAAAAAGAAAAAAAAUACAGCACUGCUUCAGACAUUUUUCUUUCUAGUAAAAGAUCAUAAUCUUGGAUUAAGAAACUGUGGCCAUCUGAUAUUCAGGUAAAUGUGUGUGUUCUUUCACACAAAACAUUAUCCGUAAAUUCGAUAGGAUAAAUCAGAUCUUCCUGAGCAAGGCCUUGAGAUGCGGCUGCAGGCUUGUCAUAGUAGUAGCCAUCUGAACCACAUAAGAUAGUUCUCCAUCAACCACUUUAAAAUUUCUUGUGAUUUCCUUCACCUGUCGAGAUAAAUUAACAUGAAUAAACGACGAUCUUAUUUAAAAAUUGAACACCAUUGAAGAAUUCCUAAUAGAAAAAUUAAUUUUGGAAGAUUAGCAUCUAAUUGUUUUGAUAGUAUUCUAACUCAAUUCUGUACAAUUAACGCAAAAUUACUGAUAACAUUAAAAAGAUUCUAGUUUAGAAGCAUCAAUACAACAACGUCCUUAUAAUUUAUAACAACUCGAUUAGUUGCUUCUAUAUAAUGCAACAAAGUUGCUUUGCUGUUAAAAUAUUUUGCACCUAUUAUUAGUCAAUAACAGUUACUUAUGCCUAAAUACUAGUGUAUAUCUAUGCUAUUUUCCUGAUUAAGUAUUACUACCUGAAAAUUGUUUGAUACUUAGGAGUUGACUCAAAUUUCCAAAUUACAAUUAUUGGCACAGAUGGUAUUUCACCGGCCAAUAAAAGAACUUACUGGCACUGUUAAUAUAAAGCAAUUGCACAUCAUAUGGUAAACUGCAAAAGAUUUUGAAUAUGCCUAUAAAAGUAAUUAUAUUAAUCAGGAUAGCAGUACUGUAGGUAUCCAUAUCAAAUAUUACUGCGAUAUUUUUAGUAUCCAUAUGUUUGCAAUUACACUCAUAAAAGAGUAAAUGAAACAUUACAUCGUAUUCGCCGCUAAGCUGUUAAAUGGAAAAGUUAAUAAUUGACGAAGUGAGAGCAUGAGAACCAAAUAGAACAAAAAAAAAAAAGUUAAAGAACUGCAAUUGCACACAUAAGAAGCGUAAGGUCAUUUUGGAGCUGUCCCUUCUUUGUAUGUGUAUUCUUAAAUAGGUGCCUUGGUCAGUGAUGCUGGUUUUUUGCAUUUCUGCUAGUUAACUAGCAGAAAUAGUUUCAAUUGCAUAUCCACAAAAGUGCUAUGUUCUUAAACUUAGAUAAUCACUAGAUAUAGCCAGGAAAAAAGGCGAAGAUAAAUACAUGACUUCUAAGAACUAGAAAUCAUGUGUUUGUAGAUGUUAACAAAGUUGUAGAUUGUUGUGAAAAAUCGAUGGCUCAGGAUCGAUUAUUUUGCACAGUGAGUGUAUCUCCCAUGCAUCGUGCACUUGCUAAACAUGUUUCACUCAAUCUGCUUCGUGUGUUCUGAUGGAUAGCAGAUAGAGGUUACUAAGAAAAUUUCACAUUAGUGUUUGCUUUUGCUUGGAGGUUGCAACAAAAAUCUGCCCAAGGCCUAUUGGACCAUCACUGCACACUAUCAUAUCAAACUAUCAAACUUUAAGACUACAUGCCGCAUGUUCUACUAUCCCAUAAUGAGUUAUUACUACAUUGGAGCUUAUGCAUGUAUGUAUUUAUAGCAGAUAAAAGCAAGGAUUUAAGUGCCGUGGCACGGGGUCGUGCCGGAAACUUGCAGGCAUGGUACGGCAUGGUGCAUGUCGGACCGUGCCAAUGCGUGCCGGUCACAAAAAAUAUGUGUGCCGACACGUAAUGGUAUGAAAUAUUUAUUUUAUUUAGCAACAAAAUAUGCCAAUUAUUUAUUAUAUAUUUUUAUAAAAUCUUUUGAACUUUAUUGAGAAAAUUACUUACUAAUUUCAAGAAUAGAGGGUUUUGAGUUGUGCCAUCGGCACGGGGCUGUAUCGUGCCGAUAUCUUGCUGGCACGAUACGGCAACGGUAGAUAUGGCACGUGCGAUGGACACUUUAAUCUUUGGAUAAAAGCAUGUGAAACACAAAAGUAUGGAAUAGGCUAAAUUCUUUAUCUUUCUCGACUUAAGUGGGCAAUCGAACGAAAUGCAGUAGGGCAGUUUGCAUGAUGCAAGCAAUUCUAGUUUUUCUGAAUCCAAUGUAAAGAACAGGAAAAACAUAAUAUAGUUAAAAUGAUGUCUAUCAACUGAGAGUACCUUUGAUGCAUUUCCAACAAGCUCGCUUUGAAGUGUUACAAUUUUAUUGGCAGCAUCAUAGGAGCCUUUCUGCAUAUUGGUGAACCAAAAACUGGUCAAAGACAUAAUACUUUUCAUAUAAUGAUGGACAAUCUAAAUGACAGAAAGAAACCACUUAGCAAGGUCAUGAAGUAUAGACCUCAAUCAAUAAAAUCAAAUAGAUUAAACCUAAUACUUAGGCUCAGGGCCUCCUAAAAUUUUUUAACACUAACCAUUACAUAUCUCCUCUAUAGUGUUGACAACAGGAAUAGGAGGUGGCCAUUGUUUAGCAAUAAUGCUAACUGAAAUGGUUGCUUGUUUGUCCCACAAAUCAUAGGCAAGUUAAUAAUGGACCCUAAUGGACCAACCAACUUCUUCGUCCUUGACUGAAAUUCCCAAACUUAAAUUACCUCACAGAACAAACUUUAUCCGUCAGACUAGGUGCAUUUUUCAAGUUAUGUUCGAGUCACCUUAUCCAUCUUAUUUUUGUGAGAUGUAACAGACCAAGUCAAGACAAGGCAAGUUGGUGAGGACAAGGAAUGCAACCUAGAGUCCAAUCAGAAAAACUCCGUCAAUCUGUCCCUCCACAAGAACUACCAACUUUCAAAUUUAUCCAAAGUCACCACUCUCUGGUUUAAAAAGCAAUAUUAGUUCACUACCCUAUGUGCCAUUUAAUCAAUUAGAUCAUGUUCAAAAAAGAUCUUUUGGAAACAACAUCGACCACCAAAUCUUUGUGAUCUAUGAUUUUCCAGAUUUUUCCUUCCCAACUGAUCGUAGGCUAUGCGUGAGGGCUUUGAUAUUCUGUUUGACUAUUAUAUUGUAUAAGAUACCCACUUGAAUAUGUCAUGAAUAUGUACUUUGAUAAUUAUUUUACAUAUUUGAUUUUUAAAAAUGAGUAAACUAUGGAGAUACUGCUUGGAAAAUUCUGGGUACUUAUUGUUUACUUUGAUAGAAGGCUCAUUAAGAUGAAAACCCUGCAAAAUAAUCUAAAACAGAUUUCCAGCUUUUAUUGGCUAAUUAGGUAAAGAUGAUUGCUUAGUUAUAAAAUCAUAGGUUGCAAGACAAAUUUCUCGCAUACAAAACACAAAAGCAAAGAAGUGAAACAUAUUAUCGAUACGUUCAUAUAUGCGUGCUCAUGUCCUCAAAUAAUUAUGUAUUUUUAAUGCUCUCUCUAUCUGUUUCUAUCACAUGUGUAUAUAUAGGGAUGUAUGUACUUUAUUUUCAUAAAAUCUGUAUCCCUGUAUAUUUCAGUCACAUUCCUAUUGUUAUCUCUGUCCAAUGCAGAACAAAAAGGGCCCAAACCAAACCCUUCCUUAUAUACUGUCAUGGGACUCGAAUUUAAGUGAUAAGCAAAUACGGAAGCUUUAUUGGUAUUCUUAAUGGAUUUCUGAAUAAUAUGCUGGAUUUUGAUAUUUUCUCUAUGUAGGGUGUGCCAAGAUUUUUAUAUUCAGAUUAAUGUGUCAGUUUGUCUAACUUUAGAACUAACGUUGUCUAGAAUUUUCCACCCGCAACAUCAGUUUCAUCUGUAAUGAUGAUUUCUAUAGAAUGCGGUUAUCUAGGGUCCAUUAUGAAGGAAAUAAUUUCGUAGACGCUCUCUGAGCAUAGUAAUUUAACAGUUGAUAUUAGACCUCCACUGGAGUGCAAGGCAAGCUUCCUGAAUUAAAUAUUUGUCGCACUGGUACAUGAAGUCUUGAAGACUAAGAAUCCCCUGUAAAAAUGGAAUAAAUCAUUCAUUGGAUAUCCUCUUCUGACAUCCAAAUAGGGUACUUUGACACUCCAUAUAGUAAAACCAUUGAGGGAGUAGCAUCCAAACAGGGACUUUAAACCUUGACACUCCAUAUAACAAAACCAUUGAGGGAGUAACAUAUUUGAAAUUAAAAGGCCUCAAAGCUCAUAAUAUUCUCCAGACAAGAAGAUAAAGAAAUAAAGGCGCUUAGUGAUUAGUAGACUAGCAUCAUUUUUGUUUUAUGUUUAUAUCAUUCGCCAUUCGACGGUACUAAAAGAGAGAACCUCAUUUUAAAAUAUGUUCUUUGUCCCCAAACUGAAAAAGGAAAAAAAGGCAGUUAAGUAUUAAGGUUCUCUUUUGUCUUAACCAAGGUGUUCAAGGUGGAGAUAGCAAACUAUGAUCGCCUCUACGUGCCUCCCAUCUAAUUCAAAUCAAAAAGGCAUACUAAUCCCCAAUCAGUCAUUUCAAGUUUUAAUAUUUUUCGCUUAAUCACAGUCUAGUGACCUUUAAAGGUAUUUUCAUCUUAGAGAGUAUAAUACCCCUUCUGCCAAACAAUAUCAUUUUAUAGUUUUGUUAACAACCAAUAGCUUAUAAUAGAUGUGGUUAAUAGCAGUUUACAUGCGGCUAAUAAUUAAUCAUCGUCCAUUCAAGUCGCCUUUAGAAGGAGAAAGUGGGAAAAUCCUUAAUCUAAACUAGAAAACGUUUCGGAUUUCGAACUCUAUGGUAAUUUCAAUAGCAAAUCUCGCGAGGGAGUGACACCCACAAAAAAAGGGCGGGCUUUGAAUGGUGCUCACGUCAAAUUAAACCUAAUUAUUUUAACUUAGCUUGUCUAUUUUUCUGACACACAUGAAACUGUUCUCUUCUUCCCUUCUUACUGUCUCUACUUCCUCUUCUCAUCUCUAUAGAUUACUUUCUCUUUUUACGCCACCAUACAAUGCUUCAAUGUUAACUUUAACAAUGUAAAUAAAAACUAGCAACAGGUAACAAAAUAAUUGGCCAGAUCAUGCGAAGAGAGCAUAUAUAGAGAGUGGCGUCAAAUUGUUGUUUACCUGGACCUCGACGAUGCCGGUGCUUUGCGCGAGGACGACUUCGAGGGAGCCGUCGGGUUUGGGGCGCCAGUAGCCGCUCUCCGCGUGCAUCGGCUCCCCCGACGGCAGCUUCCACGUCUUCUGGCUGUACGCUAUCACCGGCUACUUGGGAACGAAAAUUAGAAAUUAAUAAAAAUCAACAAAUACCCAAAAGAGAAAGAAAAAGAAACAGGUCAGAAGAAAGAGAGAGCACCUUUCCGGAGUGGGAGAAGAGGAGCUCCUCGCCGUAGCGGAAGGAGUUGAUGGUGGGGAAGCCGCCCUCGCCCUCGCCUCGCCAGCGACCCAAGAGGUGGGAGAGGGGGACGAGGGCCGGGUGCAGCGGCAGAGAAGCGGAUUCUGCACCUGCGCUUUCCAUGAUUUCCCGGCAGCUUCUUCAAACUGUCGGACGGACUCUCUCCGGUGUUUACUAGUCUUGCGAGGCUUCAGCUGAUGGAGGAAGCCGUCGCUCUACCAUGGGCAUCGGGACGACCGCCGUUGCAGCGAACUCUUAUCUCCGAAUUCAUCGCUGUCUCCUUUGCAGAUGUCGCACGCAGUUCUUGGAGGGCUUUUUUAUAAAACAACCCUCUAAAAUUUUAAAAUUUGCGAAAUAACCCGCUCAAAAUUUUAUUUGUAAAACUAACCCUCUUUUCGCCACGUCGGCGCCACGUUAGAAUUUUUUUUAAAGGCGGUGAAUCGUUCACCGCGUUUUCCCAUUUCUUUUAAAGACGGUGAAUCGUUCACCGUCUUCUCCUAUUUCUUUUAAAGGCGGUGAAUCAUUCACUGCUUUCUCCCAUAACUUAUUUACUGUUAUUUUCUAUAUUCCAUAUAUAAUCCUAACAAUCACAUAAAAAUUCUAACAAAUUACAUAUAAUCUUAACAACUUUUAAAUCCUAAUAAUUUAUCUAUAUAAUUUCAUAUAAUCUUAACUGCCUUCAUACGAAAUUAUAUGGAUAAAUUAUUAGGAUUUAAAAGUUGUUAAGAUUAUAUGAGAUAUAGAAAGAAACAGUAAAUAAAUGAAAGGCGGUGAAUGAUUUACCGUUUUAAAAGAAAUAGGAGAAGACGGUGAACGAUUCACCGCCUUUAAAAGAAAUAAGAGAAAACGGCGAACGAUUCACCGUCUUUAUAAGAAAACCCUGACGUGGCGCCUAUGUGGCGAAAGGAGGGUUAGUUUUACAAAUAAAAUUUUCACAUGGUUAUUUUGCCAAUUACAAUUUUUCAGAAGGUCAUUUUAUAAAAAAGCCCGUUCUUGGACCAGCAUGUAAUGUUCGAACACUAGCGUAGCGUUUGGUUUGGGUAUAAGCAACAACUAGUUAUUAUAUUAUAAAUUGGUACAAAUAUGGGGAUAAAAAAAAUAUCGUUAGGAUAAAAAUUAGAUUUUUUCUAAGAUUAAAAAAAAAUAGUAUUUAGAUAAAUAAUAUGGAAUAAAAAAAAUAGUGAAUUGUUUUAUAUAAAAAAUGAAGGUGUUGAUGGAAAUAGUUAUACCCGGUUAUUAUAGAUAACCGAGAACUACUAUUCUCUGGUUAAAAAAUUAGCGUUUGGAUAUAAAAAGGGAUUAUCUCUAUCCCUAUCCCCUAUCCAAAUGUUGCCUAGGGGUGUGGGUCGUUCUCGUUCGCCAAUGGAUGAAUGCAUUUGUCCCAAUUUCAUAUGCCAGGUUUUCAUUUCAAUUUUAAUUUUAAUUUUUAGGUGAAUAAAAUUUUCUCUAAUUUAUUUUUCUUUUCAAUCCGACUUGGAAGGGCUGGAUUGAAAAUUAAAUUCAGACAGAAUAAAUUUAUUCUGAUUAAAUUUAAUUUUUUUAAGCUUAUUGUUUUAAUUAAAAUAUAAAUUUACGUUUAAAAAUUAUAUUUAUAAAUUUUAAUUUUAAUUUGAUCUAAAAUUAAAAUUUAAAAUUCAAUCAAGUAUUUCGAAUCUAAUUUAUAAAUUUAAAUUUAAAUUUAAAAUCCAAAGUUUUAUUCAAAUUUUAUUUAAAUAUAAAAUAAAUUAACGGAUUCAAAUUGAAAUUGAAAUUAUAAUUUUAAGUUUGAAUUUGAAUAAAUCGAAAUUUAGUUUUAUUAUUUUGAAUUAUCCGUUCAAUUUCAAAUUUUAUAUUUUUUAAAAAAAUAUUUAAAAUUUUGACAAAAAAUUUUAAUAUUUAAUUUUCAAUUUGAAUUUCAACUAAUAUAUUAUAAAGAUAAAAUUGAUAUAUUAAUUUGAUUACGUUUCUCUGAACCAAACACUGAGAGUGAGAAUGAUUUAUUCUGAUUCCGAUUCAGAUAGUGAACCAAACAGAAUGAGAUAAUGAAUCAUUCAAAUUUCAUUUCUAGUUUAUUCUCAUUCUGACUCCAAUAUCAAUUCCGACUUCGAACCAAACACACCAUAAUAUUCAAGGGUUAAUUUCAUACAGCACCCCUAAAACAUAUUGAAUAGAAAAUAUAUUUAUACAAAAUUUAACUUUUUAUAGUUAUUCGUUCAAAAAUUCAGUGAUAUUCAUAUUAUUCCAAAAACAUAAAGAAGUUAGUACUUCCGACUUUUUGACCUAUAAAUUAAGAAUUAUUGAUUUGAACGAUAAUGAUCCCCUAAAUCUUUAGUGAUUCCCCUAAAUUAGAAGCACUAUGAGUGGUGCUUCCAAAAGUAUUAUAGUAGGACUCAAAUUUCUAUAGGUAUAAUCAAAUUUAGUACCUAUUUUGGCCCUGCUUUUUUUGGUUCCAAAAGUCCAGUUAACUACAAAAAUUCGUUUGGCAUUUAUGUAUUGCGUUGGUAGGCUGCAAAAACUUGCUUUUUAACAUCCUAACAGCAUAAGCUCCGAAGCUUUUGUGUUGGGAUGUAAAUGGAUACGAAUACCUGAAUUUUAUUCGAAUCCAAAUUCGAAUAAAGCAGAUUUUAUCCGAUAUAAAUGGAUAUGAAUUCGGAUAUUGAUAUUAAAAAAAAAAAAAUCUGACGGAUUCAAGUUUGGAUAUGAAUAUUUUAAAAAAACACGAACCCGAUCCGAAAUCAAAUCCGAACCGAAUCUGAAUCCGAACAAAUUUAAUUUGACAUAAUAUAUAAAAGAACUCAAACUACUAGAUCUGAACCUAAUGAUCUGAAAUCAACAACCAUUUGUUGGGCUAUAGAACUAUCAUUUCUUUUUUAAUUUUUUAAAAAUCUUUUGUUUUGUUUCUUUUCUUUAUUACUAUUUUUAAUUUUUUUUGAGAAUAGGUAGCAAGCGACCUGCUUCAUUCAUUAAAUGUACGAAUUAAGCUACAGGGGUGAGACAACCCGGGCCUCAAAAAAAAAAAAAAAAAAAAAAAAAAACUCAAAGAAGGGCUUUCCAAGAAUCAAUCAACAGCUUGAGCCUUCUCACCACUAAAAUGGGGUCUAUCUAUAUGCCACGAAAGAUAAGAUUGUUCCUGGCCUUCCAAAUGAUCCACCAGUAUGCAGCCAAUUCAGCCAGUCCGUUUCUUCUUCCGUGUCCAUCAUACCGUCCCUUCCACCUAUCCCAGACAUCAAGAACAUCGUCACCCAACUCCCCCGCCUGGACGUCCUCGAUUCCUGUAACCAUGAUAAACUUGAUAAAGAUGCAUUGGGUUAACAGGUGGUCCUCCGACUCAUCAUAAACCCUGCACAGCGCACAAGCCGUGUCUCCAGACCACCCUUUCUUGUUGAGGUUGUCCGCUGUAAGUAAUCUUUUCUUAAGAACUAGCCAGCAGAACACUUUGAUCUUAAGUGGUAUACGGAGCCUCCAAAGCAAGAUACCACGUCUGUCCCUUGUACCCCCAUCAUUCAUCAUUCGAUAGGCCGAUUUGACUGAGAAUAAACCAUUGCAGAAUAAACCAUUGUUGUCCCAUCUCCAACCUAUCAUGUCCUCUCCGUGGCCAACGUUAAAUCUGGUAACCCUCUCUAUGAGGUCCGAAGCGAUAGUAUUCAGGUCCCGACGUAUCAUGGGACUCGUCACCCAGGAUCCUAGUCCAAUUCUAGCCAUCACUUCCGGCGCACUUCGAAACCAUGAUUGGUUUACGCUCCAGCCGCUCAUACACUUCCGGAAAAGAUGCUUGAAGUGUGGUAUCCCCACACCAUCUGUCCAGCCAAAAUUCAAUGGAUCUCCCGUUGCCCACGGUAAAGUUGGUCCCCCAUUUAAAAAUAACGUUGGUGGUUAGCACCCCUUUCCACCAAUGUGAGAGAGGCCUAAAGCCUCUACCCUCCCGUAGAGGCCUUCUUCUGCGAUAAUAUAAUGCCCGAAUAAUCUUGGCCCACUGUAGCUGGGGUGCAGUGUGAAAUCUCCACCACCAUUUGACUAGUAACGCCUUAUUCAUGCCCGCUACAUCUAAAAUGCCUAAUCCGCCUGCCAAUUUGCUCAAGCAAACGUUCUUCCAAGCAACUACCCUUUGCCAGGGGAGUUACUUUGACCCCUCCAGAAGAAAUCCCUGCGUAGAGCUUCGAUUCGCUUGAUCACCCACCUGGGUGCCUUAAACACCAAUAGAAAGUAAAGUAGUAUGUUGGUGAGCACCGCGUUGACCAGCGUAAGUCUACCCCCUCUUGAGAGUAGUUUGGCUUGCCAUCCAUCGAUUCUGUACUGCAGUUUUUGAACAACUCCUCUCCAUACCUCCUUUGUGGGGGGUUUAGGUGAGAGGGAGAACCCUAAGUAAGUUGUGGGGAGUGAGCCAACUUUACAGUCGAGUAAAUGAGCAAGUCUUGCCGCCCUCCUUUUGUCCCAGAUAAUAGAGCUGAGACUUUUUCUCUGUUGAUUUUCAAUCCAGAAGCCCACUCAAAUAGAUGCCACAACAGUCUAAGAUUUCUCAUAUAGCAUUUUCUGGCCACCGAGAAAAAGAAAGUAUCAUCCACAAACUGAGAAAGAGUCGUUAUACUCUCCUCCGAAGGCCCAAUAUCCUUAAAAAGGUUGUUUGAAGUGGCUUCGCCGGUCAACUUGGCAAGGCACUCAGCCACCAACAAAAAUAGGAAUGGUGAGAGUGGGUCCCCUUGGCAUACACCUCUCUUAGUUUUGAUCCAGUUAGUCGUCUCACCGUUGACCAAAACAGCUACUUUAGCGUUACAGACACAUUGUUCGACCCAGCCACACCAUCUCGCGUCGAAACCCCACCAUUGUAGAAUACUGAAUAGGAAAGGCCAGUAGAUUCUAUCAUAAGCCUUUUCGAAGGCCACUUUAAUGCCUACCCCCUCAAUAGCCUUCUUACAACCCCAUCCAAUUAGUUCGGAGACGGUGACAUACGCUUCGAUUAUGUUUCUCCCUUGCAAGAAAGCGGAUUGAGAGGAAGAGAUUAGAUCAUUCAUGCAAGCCGCAAGGCGAUUCGCGAGGACCUUCGAGAUGAUCUUUUGGAUCUCAUUAAUGAGGCUGAUAGGUCGAUAAUCCUUAGCUCUUUCCGCCCCUUCUUUCUUCGGGAUUAGGCAUAUGAAGGAAUAGUCUAAAGGAGCAGUGGAGACCCUGCCCUCAUACAACUCCUGGAACAAGUUGAGAAGGUCCCCUUUUAUGGUAUCCCAGAAAGUUUGAUAAAAUCUAAGCAGGAACCCAUCCGGUCCCGGAGCUUUAUCGCUACCCAGUUGAAAAGCCGCUUCUUUUAAUUCGUCGACACAGAACUCCUCCGUAAGCCGCCCCAACAUAGGUGCCGAGACCCGUUUGGAGGAAAAAAGCCUACUCUAGUCUCCGAACGAGUGAGGGGCCGACACAUCAGCCGAAAAAAGCUCCUUAAAGUAUCGAAAAAAAUAUAACUUCUUAUCCUCCUCAGAUUGGUAGACACGCCCGUUAUCGGUAACGACUCCGAUUCCAUUGGCACGUCUUCUCCCAUUGGCAAUAUUGUGGAAGUAUUUUGUGUUAUUGUCCCCGUCGCGUAACCAGUGCUAAUUAGCUCUGGAUCUCCACAUGGAGGCUUCAUCGUUUAAGACACCCCUUAGCUUGACUUUCAACUCCUCUCUUCUCGCUCCACACUCUUCAGUCAAUGCUCCCUGUUCCUCCGCUAAAUCGAUCAGGUGAAUUUCCUCCAUCAGGUACUUCUUAUGAUCCCGAAUGCUAUAGAACUCACUGUUGCACCACUCUUUGAUCCUUUCUCUGCAGUGUCUCAUUUUCGCUGUGAAAGUGAGCACCGCUGAACCUUUAGACGCUCCCUCCGCCCACCACCCCGGUACUUUUGUUAAGAAUCCCUCAUGAUUGAGCCACGCUUCCUCAAAUCGAAAGAAUUUAUGCCAGCCCUUGGUGCCUCGUUCAACCGUUAACAAAAUAGUACAGUGAUCCGACGUGACGCAGGGUAGCGCAACAACCUUGGAAAAGGGAAAAUCUUGAUCCUACUCUGUUGAGAAUAGGAAUCGGUCGAGUCUCGCGAGAGUCGGGGUUUUUUGCAUAUUGGACCAUGUGAAGUAUUGAUUCGUCAUUGGUGGGUCAAUUAGCGCAAGAUCACUAAUGAGAUCGUUAAACAGCGUCAUCGCUCGAACACUCCAGGUCUUCCCCCUCUGCUCAUCUUGCUUUCAAUACAAUUGAAAUCACCGCAAAUAAUCCAUCUUUUCAGACAGUGCGUUUUCAAUUGUGCCACUUCCGAGAAAAACUCCUCCUUCCCGUCCCACGUCGCAGGCCCAUAAACGUUCGUGACAUAAAAGUCAAUACCGGAUUUGACGUGCGAUAGUAGGACGGUGAUCGAAAACUUUCUCACAAGAACAUCGCGACCGGUGAACACACGUGACUUCCAACACGUGAUGACUCCCCCGGAGGACCCGUUAGAUUCGAGGAAAACACACUUAUUAAGAAAAGAUCCACCGAAACUGCGCAGAAAGGAGCUAGACACAUAGUUCACUUUAGACUCUUGCAAACAUAUUACCCUAUUACAAAGCUUAGAGAUAACCGCCCUAACGGCGUUACACUUCGAGGUGCUGUUAAGCCCUCUUACGUUCCAACUACACAUACCUAACAUAACAUAAACAAGGAUACCCAACAGCUAACACCCAAAAUGUUAGUCUUCAAGUUCUUAUGAGUUGAUUCUUUAGAUCUAUAUGUCUUUUUUAAUUUUUAUUUUUAUCUUAUAGUAUGAAUGUUUACAAUUGUAUUUGAAUUUGUAUUUUGAAACUUUAGUUUUUUGUAUAAUAUGUUUCGAAAUUUGGUAAAUAUUAUUUUCGGAUUCGGGUUUUCGAGUUUAGAAUUAGGUUUUGGGUUUUUGGUCGGGUUCAGGUUUGUUCCGGAUUCAGGUUCGGAUUCGGGUUUCGAAUCUUUGUCGAAUUCGGGUUUGGAUAUGAAUUUUUAAAAUUCGUCGGGUUCGAAUUCGGUUUCGGGUUCGAAUUUCGGAUUUGGUAGUCGGGUUCGGAUUCCGGCUUUUAAAAUUCCGUCCCGAAUCCGACUGGUUGACAUCCCUAGACGUCGGCAGUGGGAAAAAUGAAUCGCAUAUCAGUCCGUACAUCCAUUUUGCAUCCAACGACUCUAAGACCAUCGUACUCCAACCGCUCCUCGUGCCUCAAGAUUGAGAAGGAAGUAAGUUAAUUUUCUUUUAAAUAGCGAAAAUACUCGUAAAUAAAAGUUGCAAUUCAAAAGGAAUACAAGCAUUGCACUACAUUGUUUAUUUAAAAUACUUUUUAAUUCAUAAUCCUAUUUUUUUUAAAAAAAUAAUAAUAUAAACACAUGGCCAUUUUUAAAAUUUUAGUGCUUAUUUUUAGAUUGUAAUCGAGCCCUAUAUUUUUAGUUUCUUUUCUAAUUUUAUCCUUUCGAUUGAAAAAUUGGAUAAUCAAGCGUGAAGUUUUUUAGGUUUCAAAAACGAAAAAAAAAAAAAAAAUGUAUANUCGCUUUUUAUUUUACUUUUCAUUGGGCGGGGCUUAGGCGGGGCGGGGCUAUUCUUUACCUCGCCCUCCACCCCUUUGAGAGGGCGGGGGCCUAGGCGGGGCAAACGUAGGGAUCGACUCAAUUACGUUCAGGUCAAAUCAUCCUACCUCUUAUUCUUACAUGGCUAUAUCCUAUUCUAAUCUAGUCUAGGAUUAAGUCACAGCUUGCGGAACGCGAACUUAGCCCACGCUCCACGAGGUAAGAGUAUAUGUUCCACUUACCGCUCCAUUCGGGGCGGAUCGGGGCGGGAGCCGGAUUUUUGACGGAUCGGGGCGGAUUGAAGGAAGAAAAGAGUCUCCCACCUCCAGCUCCAUUUACUUGGCGGAUCGGGGGGGAUUCGGGACGGAUUAUAUUUUUUUAUAUUUUUUGUUCCCACUUACCACCCCAUUAGGGGCGGAUCGGGGCGGAGCUCCACCAACCCGGAUCCAUUUGCAUCCCUAAACUCAGCGUGCUCUAUUUAAUCUCCAUUCUACAUAACACAGUACUCGCACUGUCAUAAAUAAACAUGAUUAAAAAGAAUUUUGAACAUUUUAGAAUUAGUUUGGGUUGAAUUAAAUCGAAUUCAGAUCAAAACAGACUUCAGAGGUUCAAAUAUGAUGGAACUGCAGAAAUUAAACAAAGUACCAGAACUAAAUAGCAGUACUACUACCCAGUUGCGCAGCGAGGAAAUUAACCCCCAUUUGGGUUUUGCAAAACUCUUUUCAAGUACCGGCAUUAAUAUGCCGAGUACCGAUACUGAUUCGAGCGAGUAUUGAUACGCGGUAGAAAGUUGAUGAAAUCAACAUUCGAGUUUUGCGAAACUGGACUGAGAGUGUUGGUACUGUUUGCCGUGUAUCGAUACUAGAACCCAAGUACCGGCACUCAUUACUGUGAACAAUAGCUUUUGAGGGAUUGCAAAUAUGAUUAAAUUGGAGAUUUAGGUGCUAUCUUAUAGGCCGAUUUAUGAAGAUCCUAAAGUUUACUCAAAAGAAACAAGUUUAAUCAAAACUGAAGCUUCUAAAAUCGAAAAUUUUUGUUGAAAGAAUAACAGAUGAAAAAAAGAAAAGAAUUGUGCCGAAUUGUCGGCCCAUUUUGAAAGGACUAACCAACUUUAAACAUCAUUUGUUUUAACAUUCUAAUCAUUCAAUUAAUUUGAUAGAAAUUACAUAACUUAGAUGUAUGUUUUAUUGGAGCAAUUAUCCGAGUGACAGAGCUUCUUUUGCAAAUGUAUCAUGGAGAAACUUUUCAUAUUUUCUCAGAUUCAGCAUCCAUCACCAAAGCUUUGCAACUCAGGAGUUAUCACUCAGAUUCGCUAACACCUGAAGCUUGGACAAGAAUCACGGAGCUAUAGUUGCGGAUCGCUUAGCCACUUGGGGACUCGCACGCAAAAAGUUUUCUUUAUGAUCGUCUAUUGGUGAUUUUUCUCGGUCUAUAUUCAUUGAUUAAUUAAAUAAAAUCGCCUUAGGGUAUGUUUCCCUCAAAAAAAUACAAAAAUGUAUGUUUUAUUAAACAGGCAUUUAGUCAUCUCAGUUCCAUUAUUUAUCUAAUCAAACGGCAUGUCUAUAUCCAAUUAUUGAAGAAUCACUGCUCAAAUCGGAUAAAAGUUGAAACUUUUAUAUAGAUUUAGUAAUCAUCCCAAAUGGAUCAAAAAGAUUAGUUUCCUUUGUUUUCCAAAAAUAAAAAUACUAAAACAACAAUUUGUUUUUCUUUUGUAGCUAGAAAGGCUAGUGGAUAACAUAUCCUUCAAGAAAUAAAAGAAGGACAAUAAAUCAGAUAAAUAUAAGUGAUUAAAGCCUAAAUACUUCUCAAAAUAAAUCAGACAGUUAACAUUUAUGCUAUUCGCAUCGACACAACAACCAAAUAAAUAAUCAAAAUAGUUAAAUACGAUUCAGACUAUUUGACCUUUUUAGAAAUUAUAUUUAAUGAUAUUUUUCGACCCAGUGUUUGAAAGAAUAAAAUCUCAUUUCUUAAGAUUGAAAUUUAAAGGGAAAAUUUCUUGACUACCCCUUCAAAAAUCUGAUAUUUACAUAAAUACCUCUAUAAAAAUUGAAAUAUCGUAAAUGCCCCUCUAUAUAUGAAAAACUUUCAAAUAUAACCUUUAGAAUAAUUUUUCAUUAAAAUUUUCAUUAACGGAUGUACAUACCAGUUUUCGCCUUAUCAUAAUUGCCUUUAUAAAAGUUUUAACGGUCAUUGACUCAUUAUAAUUUUCAUAAAUGCCCUCCAACUUAUGUGGCUCAACGGUCACAUUUUCAAAAAUGCCCUCCUAAAACUAGUAAUGUAUUUCUUUCAUGCCUUUAAAUAAGAACAUUCUCCUCUCCUCCAAUAACUUAUAGGAGUUGCUCCCACUUCAUCAAAAUGAGCACUUCGCCAAGUGCUCACUCUGUUUCUUCCUCUUAUCAAGUUCCAUCUUACCAUUGCGACACACACUCUCGAGUUUGGGUAUCAAUGCAACCACAUAGUAGAGGUAAACAAUUUUAUUGUGCUCACUAUGUUUCUUCCUCUUAUCAAGUUCCAUCUUAUUAUUGCAAUACACACUCUCGAGUUUGGGUGUCGAUGCAAUCACAUAAUAGAGAUAAAUGAUUUUAUCAUUGUUCAAACUGGGAAUAAGUCGAAUUUGACCACUUUAGUUUCAAAUAAUUUUAAUCUCUAAAUAAACUAAUAUUUUGGCAACAUGCAUAACUUGAGGGAAAAAGGCAUUGCAACCUUUUCUCAUGGGUAGAUGAUGCUCAACAUACAACAAUUGAAUUGAAGUACUAGAUCGAAGGCUUGGAGGAAACGAUUGAGUAAAGAAUCACAUGCCUUGAAUGCAAAGUCAUAUUCUAUCUAAAGAUGUUGAUCUUCAUUGUAAUACUCGUAUUAUGUAAGAUAUUUAGUUAGGGAAAAAUUGUAGGUUUUUAACAAAACGACUUAGAUCUAGAUAUGAAAUCUCUAUAAGUCAUUUCAUCAGAAUUCCCUCUAUUGACCAUUGUAAGAUCUGCAUAUUCAAAUAAGAUAAUAUUUAUAUUUUCAAAUGUUUCACUUUGCAUCUUGUCUUUAAAAUAAGCUUGAUCCCUAAACUUCUACAAAUAUACUACAAUAGUCCACUUUGUCAUUUAUCGUUCUUUUUAUUGAAAGAAUUUAGAAUCGAUAGAGAUAAAAAGCAUCAUAAUUAAGAAAAUUAGCUAAUCUAUUACUAUAUACUAAAGUCCGUGGAGGUAGGUUACUAUACUGCCAUGUGUCGUCGGGCUACUUUUGGUGCACCUAGUGCACCAUGUGUUAGAAAAUUGCGUACGAAUAAGCAUAGCGGAAAAAAAAAAAUCAAACAAAUUUGGUUUUUAAAACUCAAGAUCCGAUCUCAAAAACUACGUAAUUAGGAUCCCUUAUGUUCUUUAAGAUUAAAAGAGAAAAGAAAGAUCCAAUCUUAACCUUUGCGCUGGUAGAUCUUCACCACAAUUUGAUGAUCAUGAAAUUAGGUUCUCUUGAAGCCGCGUACACUUCUGGCCUCUAUAGGUAUACACACGAGACUGAUGAUUUGAUCGAUGUCCUCACCGGAAUGCUAGCUCCCUUUCAAAGAGCGUCUUUUUUGCUAGACGAAAAGAGAUAAAGAAAGCGAGAGGAAGAGAGAUGACGGCUAAAAUUUUCGAAAAACUCCCGUAUAUUAAAUAGAGAGAUAUAAUCCUCUUUUAAUAAUAUAAUAAUCAUUAAGGAUAAGAACAAAUUUAGAUUUAAUUUUUUUUUUUUAAUUGGUUAGAUCGAUCAAAUCCUAAUUUGAUUAGAUUUGAACUUUAUCCUAAUUUGAUCAUAUCAAAUUAAUAAUGCAAUAUUUGCACAUAAGUCAUCUCAUAAUUUACUAACCGUUAGUAAGUCCUUUCUUGUAACAUUUAUACUUUGAUACCACUAAUUUGUAACAAUUACAAAUUAGUCAAAUUAUCAACAUAUUAACAAUUAGGUCCUUUCGACGAUUCAAAAAUCAUUAUCUAGCUAUCCGAUCAGUCAUAAUUUCUUAUGUGUGUGACUCCAUAGGUUCGAUUCUAUUUGGUAGUUUGAUAUAUUUUGAUCACUAUCAACAAUAUCACUAAAACUCCUUUCAGUGGAUCAGAAAAAUUCCAACUCAACCCAAUGAAAAUUAUAAAUCAUCUAGAUAAUUCUUAUGAGUCUCACAAUCCACCAGUGACACCUAACAGCAUAUAGUGGCAUUCCAAUAGAAUGGAAUACUGAACUACUUGGUGCAGUUAUCGUGUGAUACAACCCUUCUAUCAUGAGUCCCGACUAGAUGGAGAUCAUAGAAUAACUCGUUAAACUCCAUCGUCUGUCAUGUGUCCAAUUUAUUCGACUCGAGUUUCUUAUAUCGAAACCCUUUUCCGCUAUUAACUUUGCCUUGGCCAAGGUCUUCUAAACUUGGUCUCAUAAAUCACAUAGGACUAAUGCCUCUAUCUAUUAAAGGAUAUAGAUUCUAUAUAAAUGCACACCCUAUUCCUAUAAUGAACCUAGUGCAGCCAACAUGUACCACAAGGAUCCGAAUGGCUAGGGACCAAGUGUAUGUACAGUCAAACUACAGUAACCUCAUUGUGAAUAGCCGAGGCACUACAGGUCAAAGGAUCAGUCACACUAUUGCAAUAUUAAGUAAGUCACUGACGAGUGAGUAAACAUAUAAGUGAUUUCUCACGUUGGUCACACUCAGUACCCUUGUUCUUUAAUAACCACCUGCAUUUUUGCUCAGUGUUCCUAUACUGUUGACUCGAGGCUCGUCUGUCGAAAAUGAAAAACGACAUAUGCACCAAUCUCACCGGAUCAAUCACCAUUUCCGUGAUGAUCCAUCGAUCGGGAGCAUUUAGGAACUAACCACCAAUGUCUCAAAUUCUCAACUCUUGAGAAUACAUGUCAUCAUCUUAUUAAUUUCCUGAACGAUUCAUGGAUACAUACAUCUCCAAAUUUAUUCAUAAUAUUUUUGUCACGCCCCAGAUUCCUCGUUUUUUCGGGUACGCUAACAGACCCGCCGUGUACAAAAUUUUUUUUCCUAUAUACGAAGUGAAGCUGUACAUGUACUUGCAAUCAUACAAUACUACAACCAGUAGGAUAGAGCUGCUAGUAAGGAACAAAAUAUAAAUAAAAUAAGAAGUUCACUAUACAUACAUAACAUCCAGUUGUACAAAACGCUCGCUCCAGCGAGAUACAACAAGUAUGUAUAAGAACUCAAAACUACCACUACCUGUAGCUGGUAUACUCUAGAUCAGCAGCAACUGGGAAGGGAUCUAACUUGCGACUCCCUUUCCGCGGUCUGAAUCAGCAGCAGCAGCAGCCACAGAAGAAGGCUCUGCAAAAGAUUCCAACAACUGGGCGUGAGAACUACUACAAAAAGAAGUAGUCCUCAGUGGGUACCGCUACCGACCUCAACGGCUUGCCCACUAAGUCUACAGAUGUAUGCUCAAAUGAUAAUAAGGAAACUAAAAACAAUCUACAGCUACAUGCCACUACACUAUCAUGAUUCGACACUACUAUCUGUAGAAUAAAACAAGUUGACCCAAACUCACUAGGGAUUGUAAAUAUACCCGUCCUAGGGACUGUGAGCACACCUGUCCCGCCUUUCAAAGCUAUACAGCUACCUCCACACUAAACAGUCCGUAGAGAACAAGUCCAACAAGGACACAACGACGCCAAUGCAAACGCACAAAGCCCGACUCCGGAGUGGCACUCGUGGGCGCUACCCAACCGAGUAUGCAAGCGUAUCUCUGUCGAGCUCAAUCAGGCUCUCACAGGCUAUAGUCAAGUAAAAAGGGUCUAAAGAUCUAACUCAUGUGCCUUCGGCACAUUCUAAUGCAAAAACAACAAUCUGGGUCCACCGUCAAUUCUGACGGCACCCGACAAUCCGGAACAGCCUAAACACUGCUGUAAAACAUAAGCUCGGCAUCUCAGAAUGAGUGUAAUUACAUUCUACACUAUCCUGGGUAUCCACCGCCCACAAACUGCGGUGAUACAACCAAACUACGGCUUCUAGAGCUAAAUAUGGUAGUUUAAGCAUAUGACGGUGUAGAAUCGUUGAUUUUCUCCUAAGUCAUAUCCAAGUCCAACAUGUAUAUAUGUAGCUAACAUACUAGGCUCCAAUUCAGAUUUUAAUCAUGCUAAAUCAAUGAAUCGAGCAACUACAAUAUGCUAAACAAAACGACGAAUACAUGUCGACUAUAUCAACUUAGAAGGAAAUUCGCAGAACAGAAUUCAGUAAGCAUCAUAUUUAACCCACCUCUCACGCAACUCCACGGCAGCGAUAAGGUCACGAAAAUACCAGGAGGCUCAGCCGAGAUCACUCUGCAACAGCCACAAUACUUCUCCAAGGCUCUACACAUCAAGGAUACUAUAAUUCCAUCAAUCAUAAGAAAUUUAGCACUUAAGCUUAACUUUUCCCCAAUUACAAUGCUAACUUUACCUUCCAAGCUCCAAUUCAAGUGAGAAGAAGUUCCAACAGCAGUGUACUAAGAUGGAAUAAUAUCCUCUGGUCCAAAACCAAUCUCCUCCCAAGAUCUAAACACAAAAACAUCAAAGUUGCAUCAAUAACCCUAAAUUUCAGCACUUAAGCUUAAUCCAAUAACUCCAAUGUCACAACUCACCAAUCAAUCCCCAAAUUCACAAUUCAGAUGAUGAACACCUUCCUAAGCCAGUAGGGAAAGGUGGCGCAACUUUCACGAGUCGAAAAUCCAGCACUCUCCAUGAAUUGCAUCAGGAAAAAUCCUAAAAACUCAAAAUCAGCCUCAAUGUAGCAGCAAACCAGAAAAAUAGUAAUUCAACCAUACUAACCUCAAUCAAAUUCUGUCAAAUUGGGCUCUACGGAUUCGUUUGGAAGUCUAGAAUCUAGCAAACCAAGUUUUGUGGCAAACGGAGCUUCCUAUGUCACACACGAGCCAAAAUACGGAAGGUCGUUGCAGGGAAACUGCUAGAACUGGAGCCUUCAAUGUGAAGAGUGAGCAGUUGAUGAAAAUUGGAGUAAUUUGAUGUAUUAGCUGCAAUUCUAAGCCUUUACUGUGAAGAGAGGAUGAAAAGAGUUCACCGGGGACGAACUCCAGCUAUUUAUAGUGAGCUGGGAAAAUAAAAUAAGCCCCAUGAACAAACACUACUAACCUGCCACCCUUGCAGAAACGAGCACUUUCGGGCGCCCAGAACCAUAUUCUGGGCGUCCGAAACCUCUAGGGCCUAUAAAGCUCCUAUUUCGGCUCCUCAUCCGCGGUGUGCUGCGCCCUAAACCUGGUCCUGCGGAUCUCACCUAUCACAAACAUGUGUCAGCUCAAACGAUAUUCACGAGGCGAAUUUUCGGACCCACUUCUGGGCGCCCGAAACAUAGGAUCCGAAUUGGCUUCCAGUUCUGCUCAGACCAGCACUCAAGUUCUGGACGACCCAAAUCCAGUUCUGGGAGUCCGAAUCUGGCAAAACUCCAGUUUUGCUUAUUUGAGUGCACCUAGUCCAUUUCUACAUCCAUUUCGUGCAGAAACGACUCCGACUUAAUCCGACACUCUCCAGAUGUGUCGACCAGUCACUAAUACUGUAGCCAAUCCUAUCCAAACCUCAGGAACACUACAAUUUUAAAGUCAAAUACAAAUUUAUGAUCUAGAAAGAAUAAAUGUGUCAACCUAGUUGGUUUCUAGGGCAUACAUUUAACACCAUGGACCAUUGAUUGUGGACGUAUGUAUAGUCCAUGGGGGGAUCUCGGGUGCAUCUGUUCUAUGUAUAUUCUUCUACAUUAUACGAGGGUUUGGGGAAUCGGACUUGUGCUACUGUGCUGCCACGUGCCCUAGGGCUGCUUUCGGUGUUCCUGGUUCACCAUAUACCAUUGCUUAUAAAUAUAUAUGUAUGGUCCAUGGGGAGAUUUUGGGUGCAUCUAUUCUAUGUAUAUUUUUUUCGAUAUUAAAGGAGUGUUGAGGAGGUCUCAAAGUGACACGUCCCUCAAAACCCUCCCCUCACAUCUCCUCCUACCUAUAUAUAGAGGGUUUUAAAGUUGUAUAAAAUUCUAAAUUUGAAAUUUUACAAUUGUAAAACAUAUAAUAUUUAUUCCCAAAUUUGCAACUUCAAAAUUUUAAAUUUUAAAUUCCUAAAACUUCUAAAAUGAAUUUGUCACGCCCCGGAUGUCUUGUUCCCCGGGCACGCCGACAAAUCCGCCGUAUACAAGAAAUUUUUCCUGUAUACGAAGCGUCACUGGUACCUGUAGAAACAACAAUACUACAAACAGUAGUAUAGAGCAGAAGAAAUAACUAAAGUAAACGAGCUUUUUAUACAUAGUCACAAAUCCCAAGUACAAAACCACUCGCACUGGCGAGUUCAACUGCUAUGUACNGUUGUACCGGUACAGCACAACCUUGUACCGGUACAACAGAGUAAAAAUCCUGCAAUUUCGCAGAUUUUCACACAGAAUGCUGCCCUCGCGUCAAACGGAGUCCGUUUCGCGUCUAUUUGACGCCAACGCAACUCGAGCUUGUCUCGACACUCUCCAGAGCUGUCGACAAGUCCCCACUGACAGAAACUGGGUCUCACAGAAUUAAUUAUUUUUAUUAAUAAUUAAUUGUAUAUAUAAUAUAAUUAAUUUAUUUUAUUAAUAAUACACAUAAUAAAUCAAAAUUAUAGGAUUUAAAUUUCACGUAUAUAUUUUAGAAAUGUAAUUAAUUGAUGUGCAAAUAAGUAAUUUCUUAAUUGAGUCGAUCUCCUCGACAAAUGUGCUCUUCAAUCUCUUUUUUUAAGCAAGAGACAUGCCUUCUUUAGAGAAAAAUAACAUUUGAAUUUAAACUAAGUAAUAUCUUAAUUGAGCCUCCUCGAGAAAUGUGCUCUUCAAUCUCUUCUUUCAAGCAAGAGAAAUUUCUUAAUUGCGUCUCCUCGAGAAAUGUGCUCUGCAAUCUCUUUUUUCAAGUAAGAGAAAUACUUUCCUUUAGAGAAAAAUAAAAUUUAAAUUUAUCAUUUAUAAGUUUUUUUUUUCCAAAAAUAGUUGAUUUCUCUCUAAAGAAGACAAGUUCAAGUUCUCAUUUACUGCUACCAUUAAUUCCUUUUUCUCUCUCUAAACAAAGACAUACUCUCUCUUAAAAUAAUUCUUUAUUUAAAUUAUUAAUUCCUUAUUUUGCAGCUAACAAAUACCAAGUGGGUGAAAGAAGAUGGGAGGGGACACAUGUUGUGUUGGUUAAUAUGGUGCACCUAGUGCACCAUAAACCACACCCAAAUAUCAUAAACUUCAAUAAAUUAAUAAACUAAAAAUUUAUAACAUUUAAUAUGUAGACAUUUUGAAUAUACCAUAAAAUACAUUUAAAAAAGUCACAUUUAAUAUAUUAUAAAAUAUAUUUAAUUACUUAAAAUUUAUUUUAAAGUUUUAUUUUUUAUAUUUCUAUUAUACAAAUUUGCUGAUGGAUGUCAUUAUAAAUAUAUGUUCAAUUCAUAUAUUUAAUAGUAAUAUAUACUAUAUAUUACGAAUAUAAGUAAGAAUAAAUUUAUCAAACCUGCAGCAAAGCGCGGAUACAUAUAUUGCUAGUGCAAUCUAUAAAACAAUAAAUUAGCAUACAAACAAACAAACAUGGACAUAUGAAGCAAUGGAUGCCACCAAAAUACUAGCUAAAGUAGUGCAAAACACAUGCCUAUUUCUUUCACUGCAAAUAGGGAGGGGGGAAGUAAUUUUCAGCGAAAAGUGAUCACUUUCACUAUUUGAUUCACCGUAAUAUUAGUAUGAUUGAAAGUCUAAUUUUUUCCAAAAUGCUGAAAUUGAUUUCUCUUUCCCAUGGGGCGAAGUCAAUUCUGGUGAACUGAAGAGGGGGAGAAAAAAAUUAUAAAAUACUAUUAGAGAACUUAAUUAUAGUGACUUAUUCAGGGCUACUCUCCCUAUCUCUCUACUCCCCUCCCAUCUCCACCCCUGUCCCUCUCUUCUUCUCUUCUUGAUGCAAAAAAUCUCUCUCUCUCUCUCUCUCUCUCUCUCUCUUUCUUUUUCCUUUGCCAUCAGACCAUUCUACCUCCCCCGCUCCUCCAUCUCCGGUGACUAUCAGGUGUUUUUUUUAUUUUUUAUUUUUUACAUUUUGCUUCUUCAACCUAUCCCUCUCUCUAUCUCACUACCUAUUUUCUCCCGUCUCAGAUCCCGCAUUCUAUCUCUUUUGGUACCAGAUUUCACUUCCCUGUCGCCGGU